ACUGUUCCUCCACCUUCCAUUUCCGAUCAUUCUGUCUCAGAAAUUUCCAGCCGGUGUGUCUCUUUUGUCGAUCACUUCUUGAUGCUAUCCGGUAAGUCUGCUUCCUUUCUCUCUCGUUGUUUACUCCUUUCUUCCUCUCUUGAUUUUUGAAGGUUGUGUAUAGGUCGGGAUUCAUCCCCAAAUGUAAACAUGAGAGUUCUCUGAGCUUGGAUUGUCCCUUAAUCAGUCCUGUUGUGCGUUCCUCUUCUUGCAAGCUAAUCUCCUUUUCCUUUGUGCUUUUUCUCAGAUGUAGAUGUGGUGUCUCGGUCCCUCCGAUUCUAAAGCUCCAACGGUAACAACCAAACCAUUUACUUGUUCGUCUGUAUGAUGUAACUUUUUGAUAUCUAUGGCAAUACUCUUUAGCUCGUUGUACUGCGUUUAUGUUUUCUUCUUUACCUCUCCUGGUAGCAAUGUGGCAGAUUCUUGUAUUUUGAUGUAGGUAUGCUCUGUAACGAUCUGCAGUAGUCAUGUGCAUUAUUUACUAUCUACAAAUGCUUUUGUUAUUCUCAGUGCUGAAUAUUGAUUUUCCUGGUUCUGAUCCUCAAAGUUGGUAUUUGUGCUUUGUCUAUAUUGAUCUGUCUCCUGAUGUUGGUAGGUAGCUCCUCAAAAUUGUUGUACUCUUUUCUUUGUUGUGAUUCAACUACCAGAUUAGCUAAUAGGUCUGCCACAUUAUUGCCUUCUCUGAAAAUAUGGAUGAUGUUUGCAUUUAAUUGUUGUAAUCUCUUCCUUAUAAUCUCUCCUCUUUCCGCCAAAUCCCAGGGUAUCUUCCAAAGCCCUCUUAUCAUCUGCAUCAGACACAAUGAGUCGGUUUCGAUUAUUACUUCUCGCAGCCUGUUCUCCCAACAAUACUCCAAUGCUUCAUGUAUUGCCACUGCCUCUGCCUCUGUGUUAGUAGUAGUACCCACUCCUGCUGCUCUUGCAUAUAUCAAAUUUCCAUGUGAAUUCCUCAGACAAAAGCCAUAAGAACUGAGUCCCGGAUUCCCUUUGGAUGCCCCAUCCGUAUUGCAUUUCAGCCUGUGUGUAUCUGGUGGUUUCCAUAGUACACUAUGAUAGUGUAAUUUAGGAGUGUACCACUUUAGUUUCAUGACAAUAUCAGGCCACAAAUUGGACUCUAGAUGUAUCCAGGGAUAUAAAGUUUUCACAAGGUUUCUGACCAUAUCUUGAACUUGCACCACCAUUCCACUCAAUGUUGUAUUUCCUCCAUGUUUUAUAUUAUUUCUUCUCUUCCAUAUUGUCCACGUGAUUAUUGCUGGCAUUGCUCUCAUUACUCUUUGUAGUUGUGGUGAUGUGUUGAAUUUCCACCACUCAAUGAUUAAUUGUUGUAAAUGCAUCCCCUCCAUGCGUACACCUGCAAAAUUAGCAAAUUGCCUCCAUAACUUGUUAGCCAAGGAAGCUGUUAGAAAAUUAUGGGACAUUGUUUCCUCCUUUUUUUCAUCACAACACCAACAUCUUGAAACUACUUGAAUCUUCAUCUUUUUUAAAUUAUCAUCAGUAGGAAUUCUCCUUUUCCAAACCCUCCAUAAGAAGAAAUUCACCUUAAAAGGAACCCCCCUGGUCCAAAUAAAAGCAUAGUCAGUUCUCCUCUCCUGUUUCUUCCUCAUUGUUUGCCAAGCUGAUUUAACAGUGAAAUUCCCCUGCUUACUGCUCAUCCACCAAGGGACAUCAGUCUGAUACUCAUUACUAGGUGGUUUUAUACUCUCCAGAAUGUACUCCACCAAUUCUGCUGAAAGUUUUGUUGCUAGUUUAUGUGCAUCCCAUUCACCAAAAAUUGUAAACUCCUGUACUUCAACUUCUUCCUCACUAUCCAUAUCACUCUCAAUAUAGAAAAGAGCUCCCAAUUUUGUCCAGUUAUCAAACCAAAAACUGGAAGUUCCAGCCUUUAUUUGCCACCAUAUAUUGUGCUCAACCUCCUCUCUUAUCAUUACCAUUUUUCUCCACACAUGUGAGGCACCCCUACCUGUAGUUAUAAUUGGGUGCAAUUUCUUGCAAUAUUUGUUCCACAUAUAACCACUCCACAAAGAAGAACUUGAAGUUCUGAAUUUCCACCAAAGCUUUGCAAACAAAGCCUUUGAUACAUCAUGUAAAGACCUGAAACCCAACCCCCCUUCUUCCUUGGGAUAGCACAUGCUUUCCCAUGACACCCAGUGCUUGUUCUUUGAACCAGUUGCAUUUCCCCAGAAAAACUUUGCAAACAACUUAUGUAAUUGGUAUAGAACACUGACUGGUGGAUUCAUGGUUGAUAAUAAGUACAUGGGCAUUGAUUGUAAAACAUGUGAUAUCAAAAUGUACCUUCCCCCAUAAGAUAAGAGUCUAUUCUGCCACAUGGCCAUUCUCUUAACCACCUUUUUAAUAAGGAGUUCAAAAUGCCUUUUAUUUUGCCUGCCAUAGAAAAUAGGACAGCCCAGAUAGGUAAAAGGAAAAUUACCUUGCCUGACUCCUGUUAUCCUCUUUAUUUGAUUACACACUGUUAUGGGGACCUUUUCAUGUAGGUAACAAAUGCUCUUGUCUAUGUUGAUCAUUUGUCCAGACACCCUCUCAUAUCUUCUUAACACAGACAUCAUCAUCCUCAUUGAUUUAGGGUGUCCUGAACAAAAAAGGAUAGUGUCAUCAGCAUAAGAUAGGUGGUUUAUUUGCGGACUCCAUUUAGGCAAACCAAAACCCUUAAAUUCAGCAUUUUCACAUAAACCAUUUAGGGCCCUGCUCAGAACUUCAGCUGCUAUUAUAAACAAAGUUGGGGAUAAGGGGUCACCCUGUUUCAAACCUCCUGAAGACGGGAAGAAACCAAAUGGUUUCCCAUUUAUCAACAUUGAAUACCAAUUAUUACAUAUAAGCCGCACUAUCAUGUCAAUGAUUCUCUCAGAAAAGCCAAAUCUUCUCAAGACUUGAAUUAAGAAUUUCCAUGAGACUCUAUCAUAUGCCUUUGUCAUGUCCAAUUUUACCACUACAUUAUGCAAUUUGUUCCUCUUGUUGAUGUCCCUUAUUAUUUCCUGAGCCAAAAGCACAUUUUCAGUUAUACUUCUUCCUUUAACAAAACCUGAUUGGUUAUUUGAAAUCAAUCUCGGCAGCACCACUGAAACUCUGUCAUGUAUUAGCCUUGAUAUAAUCUUGUUAGCAAACAUACUCAAACUAAUAGGUCUUAAGUCCCCAAAAUUAUCCACCACUUCCUUCUUUGGUAUCAUCACUAGAUUUGUGUGUGUUAUGAAUCUUGGCAACUCAUAUCCACUGAAAAAAGCCCUUACUAUGUUCCAUACAUCAUCACCAAUGAUUUCCCAGCAACUUUGAAAAAAUUGCCCUGAGAAGCCAUCCUGUCCACUGGCACUAUCCCCAUUUAGUUUAAAAACCACAUUCUUCACCUCAUCUUUAUUAGGAGCCCUCUCCAUUUCAUAAUUCUGGUUGUCAGUUAUGAUCUUGGGAAUACAUUGAAGCAUUGAAAAAUCAGUUGUUUUUUGUGUUUCUGUGAAUUGCUCCCCGAAGACAUUAACUGCUUCUUCCCCUAUGUUUUGUGAUGAAGUAAUGAUGUCCCCCUGUCUUGUUCUGAUUUCUUUAAUAUUCAGUUUCUUCCUUCUUCCAUUAACAUAGGCAUGGAAGAACUUUGUAUUUUUGUCCCCAUCUUUAAACCACCUCAUCCCAGCUUUCUGCUUCCAGAAUUCUUCCUCAAUUUUCAUAAACCUCUUCAGAUCAGCAUUGGAUUUACUGAGUUCUGCCCUGUUUGCCUCUGUAGGUGCUAUCUCCAUUUGUAUCUCUUUCUCUUUUAUCACAUCUUCCAAAGUUGCAAUCUUUUGAAAAAUAUUUCCAAAUGUAUUCUUACUCCACUGCGCCAGUACUGCCUUCAGUCUUUUCAUCUUUGUAUGAACAAUAGUGAAAGGAGAGCCAGUUACCUGCAUCCUCCAACUCUCCUCUACCACCUUUUGAAAGUCUGCAUGUUUGGUCCAAAAAUUUAGGAACUUGAAAGGCCUAAUGAUUUUCUCCUGACUUGAGUUAGACACGACAUGUAAGGGAGCAUGGUCUGAUCCUUGCCUUAUUAGAUGAUGUACCUCACUUUCUGGUAAAAGACUCAUAAAACUAUUAUUUCCAAAAACUCUAUCCAAUCUUUUAAAUAUGCAUGCUUCCUCAAUUCUCCCAUUCCACCAAGUAAAAAUACUGCCCGUAAACCUCAACUCAUUCAAAGUACAUGAAUUAAUGCAUUGAAUAAAAUCAUGUGUUUCUAAAUUUGAUACUGGUAAUCCACCCAGCUUCUCUGAAUCAUCCACAAUAGUAUUGAAAUCUCCCGCCACUAACCAAGGGAAACUUUGGCUUGUCAUACACUCCAGGUCCUCCCAAAGCUCCAAUCUUUCAAGGGCACUACAUCUAGCAUAGACUGCCGUUACAACAAAUCUAUCCUGUGUUCCACUUAUUUUGAAAUUCAUGGUAAGUUGUUGUGUAGUAUCUGAUGAACCUUCCUCUUCCCAGCUGUCAUCCCAGAAAAUCCAAAUUUUUGCUGAGCAGUUAGCCUUGGCAUUUUGUAGACCCAACUUUCUUCUGUACUGCUCUAAUUCUGAAGGGCUUUGAAAAGGUUCUAAUAAAGCGAUGUAUGAGUAAUGAUGUCUCUUGUGCAGUUCAAGUACUCUCUCAAAAGCAUUCUGAGAUUUCACUGAUCUGAUAUUCCAAAAUAACAUCUUGUCUAUCAUUGAUCAGAAAUGGAUGACGAACCCUUUAUACUCCUUGUAUUUAUUUGUGAUGUCUCGUUAAUUCUUGUAUCCCUUUUAUUUUUUAUUUUUAUUCUCUCAAUCUGUGUUGGUGAUAAAUCCCCGCUUCUACUGAUGUUAUCUAUGUUCGCCUCUAGACUCUCCUCCUCCUCAGUAUCCUGUUUUUGCUGCUUCUCGUCUUGCGAGAGAUUAUGUAUUUUAAUAGACAGAUCCCUCCCUAUCCUGUGUUCAGACCCUUCAUUCUCUAUAUUCCCCCCUUCUUCACCUUGACUGAUUUCCUGCUGCUGCGUUUUAGGUGUAUUAUUAGUGCUCCCCCUCUCCUCAUUUAUGUCACCUUCUUUAGUUAUUUGUACUGUCUCCUUUAUCCCUUCUGAUGCUUGCCUGUGAUCUUUGCAUUGAACUGAUACUCUUUCUUCUGUUUUCUCAAUUUGCACUUGCUUCUCUUUCUGAUUUGGUGUUGUCUCCUUACCCCGACUGCUAUUCUCACCCACACCUUCUUUGUAUAUCUUCUCCUCUCCCAUGUUAUCCCCAAAGAACCCCCCACCAGAUUGCAGAUGAGUUUCUGCCUCUUCCCCUGUUAACACUUCCCUUUCUUGCGUCUUUUGUGCCUUUAUUUCUAUCACCCCCCUUAGCUCCUCUACCUCAUUUUCAAUGUCCUCCCUCAGUGCCUCAUAUUUAUUAUUUGUUAUGAUAUUUUGUUCCUUGGCAGGAUAGUUUUUAGGAUUCCACACUUGUUCCCUUUUGUCUCCUCUAUUGAAUACUCUACCCCUGCCAUAACAAUUCUUUUUCCUUUGUUCAUUAAAUUCACCUCCCCCGCAUUUGUUUGAUUCUUCCUUACUUAUUUUUAUCUCCCCUGCUGUACCAUGUGUGUUCUCUGUCCCCUUUACCCCUCCAAAUAAUUCCUUACCUUUUUCUGUACCAUGAGCUAUUACCACCACUUCCUCAUCCUCCUUAGGAUACAAUUCUGGGUGAAUGACAAAACAUUCUCUUUCAAUAUGACCCUGCAACUUGCAUGUUUUGCAGUAUUUCGGUACAUAGUCAUAUUUGAUUGGAACCCACUUCUCUACAACUUCACCAGUUUUCUUCCUCAUCCCCACAUUGAUUCUUGUUGGAAAUUCUCCCAUAAGAUCUACUUCCACCUUCACUCUAGCACAACUUGGUCUAGUUUUAUUAAGAGUCGCCAUAUCCACCUGUAAAGGCUUUCCAACAGCUGCAGCUAAUGAGAAAAUCGCUUCCUUUCCAAAAAAAUUGGGAGGUAGUGAUGGGAAAGAUAUCCAAGCAAUCGCAAUAGAUGUUUCCUCCUCCGGAUCAAACAUGGGGUCCCACUUAAGGGUUCUCAUUGGGUAUGACCAUUGUUUAUGAGUAAUGUAAAAUUGUGGCUUUGAUAGCAGUGUUACAUAAUCCUCCAAUAAGGUGGUUCUGAUUAGGACAUAUCUACUGCUGAGCAAACCAAUGUUAACAUCUCCCUUCAAAUCGCAUUGCUUCGGUAUCAAAAGUCUUAGAUCCUGGAUCUCUGGCCACCCAUACGAGAAUUUACCUAUUACUGCAAAUUGGAGAUCUUCAUUAAUGAUCAUCUGUGCUACCUCUUCUUCCUCCCAUAUGAUCAUUGGUUCUCCAUGAAGAUAUGCAAUUUGUUUCAUCGGGACAGGUUUAUAUUGAGGACUUCUUGGUUUAAUAGUGUUGGCAUAAGUCAUUGUAGAAGGUUUACCAAUAUUGUUGAUGAUAUGCAGAGAUGAUGGUCCAUCCCCCAGAGGCGGAGGUUGGCCAACGGCCGCCGUGGCCAUUGAUUCCGACGAGAGUAAACAAAAUAGGUUUUAUAGAAAUUGCGAAAAAAAAAAAAUCACUGCCUGCAUAAAUGGUAAUCAAAUAACUUUUUACUUCUUCAAUACAGACUUUAGAGUCUAGGCAGCAGAGACGUUACAAUGGUGUACCUCAAUUUUAAACUUGGGUUUCUUGGAAUUUUUUUAUUAAAGGUGACAAAAAAAUGUUAAAACUAAGAAAAAGUGAUACAAGUUUUAUUUAUUGAUUAGAGGUGAUAAUUUUAAGAUUACUGUUAUUAAUAGCACUAAUUUUAAAACUCUCAAGUUUUAUUAUUUACACAAAAGCUUUAUUAGAACAAUGAAUUAAGGGUGAUAGAAAAGUUUUAAAAUUAGAUAUAGGUGACUAAAGUUUUAAUUAUUAUUGAGCAGGGGUGACAAUUUUUAAAUUAAGAAUUAAGGGAUGAAUUUCUGAUCCCCAAGUUUUUUAUUUUACACUUUGGCACAUCUUAUAUAAAACCCUAAUAAUAAGAAAUGGAAGGGAAAAAGGGCACCCACAGCUAGGGGUGUACAAGCCAAAUCAGAAAAUCAAACCGAACCAACGAAUCAAAUCAAAAAAAAAAAUAACGAUUUGUGGUUUGGUUAAGUUGGUUUGGCAGUUGAAAAAAAAAACCGACCACUCUUGAUUUGGUUUGGUAUUAAAAGAAAAAAAGUCAAACCGAGCUCAAACCAACCCGACAUAUAUAUAUAUAUAUAUAAUUUUAUUUUAUUUAUAGAUAAAAAAUUAUAAUUUAUAAUCUACUUUGUUAAUAUAUUUUUAGUUAGUUUAUAGUUUUUCAAUGUGUAUAUAUGUUAUUUCAAAUUUGGGCUUGUAAAAUUUUGUAAAUAUUAUAUAUAUAUAUAUAUACAUACAUACAUAUCUAUAAUUUUAUUUUAUUUAUAAAUAAAAAAUAUUAUUUAUAAUCUACUUUGUUAAUAUAUUUUUAGUUAGUUUAUAGUUGUUAAUGUUUAUAUAUUUUAUUUCAAAUUUGGGCUUGUAAAAUUUGUAAAUAUUUUAUUUUGUAUUAAGAUCCGAAAUUACAAUCAUAUUGUUAUAGUUUUGCAAAUUCGAAGUUAACAAUUUACUUUGUAAUAUUUUAUUUUGUAUUCAGUUUGCCUAUAGCCUUUAGUCUUAUUAAUCUAACAUAAUGAACGUUGAUAUUUCAAAAAAUAAAAGCAAAAGUCAUCGACCGCCCCUUAAAGUUGUUUGUAUAAUUCACUUAGACACCUCAACUAAGACUUGUACCUAUUGAAUACCUAAAUUGUUCAAAACAUGUACCUAUUAAACACAAAACGUUGAUAUGGCAAAAAAAUGUGUUUUGCACUUCCCUGAAGCGCGAAAAGAUUCAAAAUAGUGUCUUUUUGAUUUUUUUUUUACAUUUCUUCUUCUUUUAUUGACACUUGGCAUUAUAAUUAACUUAAAAGCAUUUUUCUUCUUUCAUUUACACUUUUUUCAAAAAAGAAAAGGACCUCACUCCCUACCUAUCAUCUUCUUCAUACUUUAGUUUGCAAAACUUUCUUCAUUUUAGCUCCAACAUUAUUUUUCUUUCUUUUUUAUAAAAAAGGAAUAUUAUUUCUUCCAAAUAUGAAGAUAAAUGAAAAUCAACUAUGAAGAUUCAGAUUUGAAAGAAAGUAAGACUUUCUUUCGCAUGAUUUAUUUCAAAUUUCAUAAAAAUAAGGAACAAAUAUGAAGAAGAAGAAAGAAGAUAAAUGAUAUUUACGUACAAAAAAAGUUAGCCGAUAUUUAUUUAUCACAAUUUUUGAGCAAAGAUUUUUAACUCAAAUUCAUAUAUAAACCCAUUAAAUUUAUCAAAAAUGAUAUUCAAAAAUUUGAAAGAAUUAAUUUUUGAGCUAUCAAUUUCAUUUUGUCAUCGAUGUAGAAAUGAAUAGCUGCCGGCAAAAUUUUCUUUCUUCUUCACUCUUAGUAUGAAAAUGUAUAUAUAUAUAUAUUUUUAAAGUUAAUCUUCAAGUUAUUUGAAAAGAAUUAGGUUUUGUGAUUUGAGAAAGAAUGUGUUUUGGGAAGAAGAUGAAGAUGAAAAGGGGUUGGGUAGGGGUGGGGUUGGGUAGAAUAGGUUGACAUUUUCAUUUUUUUCUUUUUCUUUUUAAAAAAAUUAGAUAUAAAAAGUGUUUGAAAUAAUUUUAAACAAAAUUAUUUUUUUUAUAAUUUUUGGGGCCCAGUGCCACAUGUUAUUUUGUAAUUAGCCAUUUUGCCAUGUCACCACAAGUGUAUCACACACUUUCCAUAUAUUUUGCUGAUUAUCAAAAAAUGCCUAAUAGGAACAAUUUUUGAAUUGGUAAAAGUGUUCAAUAGGUACUAGUCUUAGUUGAGGUGUCUAAGUGAAUUAUGCAGACAACUCAUGUGAAUUUUACCGUCUUUUCGAAAAUUUCUAUUCAUUUAACAUUUGUUAAGUUUAGCUUAUCACUCAGGUAUGUGAAAAUAUAUUUGAUAUCUUUUUCAAAUACCGUAUAGUUGUAAAAACCCAGAAAACCGAAAAAUAAAAAAAAAUAAAAAAAAAUAAAAAAUUGAAAAAAUUCGAAAGAACUGAUUAAAGCCGAAACCAAAAAAAUUGACUUUAUGUGGUUUGAUUUGGUUUUAAGAUUUAAUAAACCAACAUAGUUGGUUUAGUUUUUUUUUAGAGAAAAUGGUGUAAAGCCCCCUCAAUCUAUACCCGAAAUUUCAACUACACACUCCAGCUUCACGAGUGUCAUAUCACCCCCUGAACUGUUUAAAAUAAGAAUUAUUACACCGUUAAAACAUCACAACCACAUCUAUGCUAAUGGGUGAGACUCACGCUCUGUAGAAAUUUUAUUUAAAACUUUUUUUUAAUUCUUUUUCUUUUUUGACUUAUUAUUUAAAAAAACAAUUUAAUGUCAAAACGUCAUGGUGGAUCUCUUCUUUUACAGGAGAUCCUGAAGAGGCAAAAGAUCAACAAGAAGAGUAAGUACCUGCUAUUGCUGAUUAUGCAGAAUAUGGUGGUGACUGGACUAGUAGCCAAAUCCCUGAUACUCAAUGGGUUGCAGAUGGUGCAACAUCUGUUCCUGUAGCUACCGGUGGCUGGUCUGGAGAAGCAAUGGUUGAGGGAGGUUGGGACGCCGCAGCUGCUCCUCCUGCACCAGUUGGUGUACCAGAAGUGACCCCUGCCCCAGCUGCUGUUACUGGCUGGGAAUGAAGACUCCUUUAGAAAGUUCUUUUUGGUUAAAAUUAGAUAUGUGAGUUCUUAUAACAGAUGGUUUUGUUUACGAUGCAAUUUUAUAAAAAAUUUGGACUUGUUGAUGUACGAAACUAUUUCAAAUCAUUUAUAGCAAAAAAAAAAUUAAUAAAAAAAAAAUGUCAAAACAUCAAAGUUUAUGAAUGUAUUUUGGAUCUCCAAUUUGAAACAUGUUGAUAACAUAAAUGGUUGUUAAUUAUUUGAAGCUGAAUACAUUGAGUUUAUGACUGUGAUUUUCAAAUUUAAAAAAACUCCCGAAAUUUCAUGAAAAUCGACGUGCUUGAAACCUCCAUUAAAAUUAGUUUAAAAGCUUGAGCUAAAAAUUUGACUUACCACAAACGAGCACCGUUUUGAGUGGGUAAUAUAUCAAAAGGUUGGAAACGUCGAGGGAAGCUUAUAUCUAAAAUUUAAGGCAAUUUGGAGAUGAUUUAGGGUGGUUUUGCAUCAAAUUUCAGUGUAAUGGAAUGAAGAAGAUGAAGAACAGACGCUAACUUUUCAGAUGUGUAAGAAAAGGACUAGUUAUUAAAAUUAGUCGUAGGUCUGUUGGGUAUUAAAUAUAGGAUAAAAAAUUAUCUUAAUAUUCAAAGUUUAUUGAAGAAAAUCAUUUGGGUGUUCAUGUAUUAAGCUUAUCCAACCUUAAUUUGCUUUGAUUUUAAAAAAAUUUGGUGCAUAAAUCAAAGAUUUUUUAUAUAUAGUUCUUGAUUAUGGAGAGUAAUGGGUGAAAUUGCUAUAAACGAUUUGUGGUGUAUCAAUUAAUGUAGUGAUAAGAAUGAUUUCAAGAUGGUGAAGAACUUUGGUGCAUCCAUAGAUGCUCAAUCAAAUUGCUAUGAAGAGGUGGUUUUCAAAAUUUUCUAAUUUCAUGUGCAAAUUGAAAAAUUAAAAUUCUAGAAUCAAGAGGAAUAAUGAAAUUCCAUGGUGAAUUCAAUGAAUGUGACGGUUGUGGCGGCUUAGAGAAGGUGAAUGGUGAAGAGAUUUGAUUUAUGUUGUUGUGAAGAAGAAAUAAAAUUAAUAAGAAAAAAAAAACUAAAAAUACACAUUUAUGAAAAUUUCAAAAAUAAAGUUUUAUUAUCUGUGUUGGUUCUCACUCUCUCUAAGAGAGUGAGAUACACUCAAUGUGCCACGUAAGCGUCUAGGGAGUAAAUUAUUUUAGUUUUAAAUAGUUCAGGGGGUGAUAAGACACCCGUGAAGUUGGAGUGUGUAGUUGGGAUUUCGGAUAUAGAUUGAGGGGCUUUAGACCAUUUUCUCUUUUUUUAAUGAAAAAUCAAACCAAACCGGCCAAUGUACACCCCUACCCACAGCUCAUCAUCAUCAUUCUUUUUGUUGUUGUUCAUCAUUAUCUUCUUCUUCUUCUUGUUCAUCUCUUUUUCUUCUGUUGCUUGUCGUGACAUUCACAUUGUUGGUAUAGCUGCUAUCGGACCAAAUUUCAUUCCUAUAUCACUGGGUGUUACUUUAUAGGUGAUUUUGAUAAGUAAACAAAUGAUUUUUAGUCUAAUUUUUCAUCUGAGUAUUUUGAGUGUUUCUUCAAUAAUUUACAAACGCGUAUCCAAUAUGUAAGUGUCACGACCCAGACUGUCGUGAUUGGCACCCACACUAACUCUUCGGGAGAACCACUACUACAACCCAACCAAACAACUAAACCAUUUGAGUUACGGAAGCAAGUUAAAUACUAAGGAAAGAAAUAGGGAGUUACCAUAAACUCAAAACAAAAGUCUAUCAACUAAACUAAAUGCGGAAAAAUACACCUAGAACCUGAAAGUCAAUGUACCAACACAUCUAAAGUUCAACAAGUCAAAACAAGAAGGGAUAUAACCCCGAACUAAUGAACUAUUAACUAACUUCUUUUCAGGUUGGCAAACAGCACCCUAAAGAGGAAGAGUAUCUUAUUCUUAUAGACCUUUCCAUAAUUUACCUUCAAUCGGUAAUGCUAGAAUAGGUGCGGUGGUUAAAAGAGUCUUGAGAUUUUGGAAGCUCUCCUCACAUUUUUCAGUCCAUUCAAAUGGGAUCUUCUUUUUGGUCAACUUAGUCAAGUGAGUGGUAAUAGAAGCAAAGUUCUUCACAAAUUGACGAUAGUAGCUAGCGAGCCCCCACAAAACUCCUAACUUCAGUCACAGAACUUGGUCGAGCCCAAUUCUUUACCGCCUCAAUCUUUUGGGGAUCUACCAUUACCCCUUCUUAUAAACUAUAUGCCCCAAAAAUGCAACAGAAGUCAACCAAAAUUCACACUUAGAGAAUUUAGCAUACAACCUUUGUUUCCCAAGAACACCUAAAACAAUACGAAGAUGGUCGGCAUGCUCUUCCUCACUUUUCGAAUAGACCAAAAUAUCAUCAAUACAGACUAUCACAAACGAGUCAAGAUAUGGCUUGAACACCCCAUUCAUUAAACUUAUAAAAGUUGCAGGCGCAUUAGUCAAGAAAAAAUACAUAACUAAAAACUCAUAGUGCCUAUAGCGGGUUCUAAACGCCAUCUUGGGCACAUCCUCAAGCCUAAUUUUCAACUGAAGGUAGCCAGACCUUAGGUCAAUCUUGGAUAAAACUGAUGCACCUUGCAAUUGGUCAAAAAGAUCAUCUAUUCGAGGCAAAAGAUACUUGUUUUGAAUAGUGACCCUAUUCAAUUGCUGGUAAUCUAUACACAUUCUCAUACUACCAUCCUUUUUCUUAACAAACAAAACUAGGGCACCCCAUGGGGAAGCUCUAGGUCAAAUAAAUCUCUUAUCAAAAUGCUCUUGGAUUUGAGCCUUAAGCUCUUUUAAUUCCGUCGGAGCCAUACUAUAUGGAUAAAUAGAAAUGGGGCGCGUAACAGACUCCUAGUCAAUGCAGAAAUCUAUAUCUCUAUCCGGAGGUAUACCAGGCAAGUCAGUAGGACACACUUCUCUAAAUUCUGACACCACAUGAAUAGAUUCAAUAAAUGGAGUCUCAACCUCAACAUCCCUAAUGUGAGCAAAAUAAGCCAAACAACCCUGCCCUACCAGUUUUCUAGCCCAAAUGAAGGAUAUGAUCUUAGGUUGCUUAGGCUUGUACACCCCUUCCCACUCUAACUUUUCCCUUCACAGAAUUUCUAGAGUUACUGACUUAGUAUUACAAUUUAACACAACAUAAUAGGGGACAACCAAGUCAUGCCUAAGCUAAUAUCAAAGUCAGUCAUAUCCUAAAUCACCAAAUCAGCCCAAGUAUGAAAACCAUAAAAAAAAUAGGACAAGCACGAUAGACAUGGGUGACUAUGACUGACUCUCCAACUGGGGUAGGAACAUGGAUAGCGGAAUCAAGUAUAUCACAAAUCAUAUCAAACUUUGAGGCAAAUCUCACAAAGACAUAAGAAUAAGUAGAACCCGGAUCAAAUAACACAUUAGCCAUCCGGUCACAUACAAGAAUAGUAAUUGUGAUCACUGCGUCAGAUGCCUCUGCCUUAUUCUUGCUCGGAAAUGCAUAAAACUGAGCCCUAUCAUCUUGACGAACCACUUAUAUGCCUUUUUGCACGUUACCCCUGCCUGCAUUACCAUUUCCUCUACCUCUACGGCCUUACUGAUUACCUCCUCACCCACCUUGUGGAUGCCCUCGACCAUUAUUACCAUUCCCUACGGGUAGCACUUCUCUAGACUACUGCUGCGCGGAGUCCAACACACGUGGGUGAGGACAAUCUCUCCUCAUAUGCCCAAGCUCUCCACAUUUGUAACAUGUACGAUCAAAAAAUAGCCUACUGCCCACUUAAGGUGCGACUCCCUAGCUAUCAUGAAUUAAAUUAUGAGAUGGAGUACCCAAGUAAUUACCUGUAGAGGAGGGCAUAGCGGAUUGAAUUGACUUGGCUGCAAGCGUUGGCCUCCCUGAACCUCUAGAAUAAGAACCUUGAAAGUUUCCUGAAUUCUUGGCCCUUUUUGUCAAUGCCUUAGCCUGAUCGGCUCGCCUCAACCCCUCCACUUUCUUAACAUAGUAUGUUACCUCAUUAAAGCUCCUCCCUGUAGAAGUCAUAUGAAUAAAUAAUACUUGUAACUCAGAAUUUAGUCCCCUAAUAAAUAACCGGAUCCUCUCCUCCUCAGUAGUCACCAAUUGAGUAGUAUAUCUAGACAAGGCAUGUAACUUGGCCUCAUAAGCAACCACAUGCAUACCACCUUGCUCCAAAGCCAUGAACUCAUUCUUAUUGCGAUCCCUCAAAGUCCUAGUCACAUACUUCUCUAGAAAUAGAGCAUGAAAUUAGGUCCAAGUAAGUGGAGGUAAAGUAGAAGAUCUGCAUUCCAUAUAAGCUCUCCACCACUGUUUGGCCUCACCUUGAAGCUGAAAGUCACGAACUCAACCCCAUGUUGAUGGAAAAUUCCCAACUUAUGAAGCCUCUCAUAGCAGUCUAAGAUAAACUCAUAAGCAUCCUCAUUCUCAGAACCAAGAAACACAUGAGGCUUUAGCUUUAAAAACUUGGUCAACAUUUCAUGCUCAUUACCAGUCAUAACAGAACCCAACAAAGGACGGAAGAAAGCAUCAUUACAUCUCGUUCCACCUGUCUUGGGCGCAGUGCUAGCAAUAGGGAGAUUAGCGGGAGCUUGAGUUGCUUGAACAGAAGGAAGCACUCCAAGACCAACCAACCCUUUCAAGAAUGACAUGAUCUGUCGAGCUAAAAUUGGGUCUAUGGGAGGAAUAUCAGUAGUCUUAGCCAGCACCUCUUCCUCUUGUCCCACGUCCUCAAUGUUGUCAACCUCGAUAUCCUCUUCAAUCUCUUCAUGAUGUACGAGAGGGUCUCAUUUUAGGGAAUAUUUUUUACCGGUACCCCAUCUCUAGCAGGCGCCACUCUUCCAUGGUCUAUACCCCUAGCUCUUCCUCUACCCCUGCCUCGACCGCGACCUCUCGCUGUAGAUUUCUAAGUUGGAGCAUUGACGGGAGCUACGUGCCUGACGCCGUUGAAUCUAGUGUUAAUUAUCUGUGGACAGAAGAGUGAAGGAGGUUAGAUACCAAUUUGAAUCGUCAGAUACCAAUUGGAAUCAAGUAAUAGCACGAAAGGAGACAAGAGAAACAGAGAGAUUUCCUAAAGUGCUAUAGCCUCUCGAAGAAAAGUAAAGGUGUACCCGUACUAUUUCGCAAGACUCUACUAGACUCGUUUUGGUACUCUAUUAGUCCUUUGAAUUUGAUAAGUAUACAUGAGUUUGAGGUGUCAUGUUGAUGAAAAGAUUGACUUCGUAGUGAUAGUCAGGGCUGACUAAUCAUAAUGGUAAUAAGAGUUUGUGAUGGGAUGCAACUAUAUAAUAAGAUUGUUGGUUAAGCGAAUUUUGUAUAGUAAUUACGACUUGCGAGUAUCUAGGGUUGUGGUUUUCUAAUAUUUGGUGAGUAACGUGGUUGUAUGGAAAGUUUUCAGAGAUGGUGGGACACCACUCGAAUAGAAUUUAAAGAGCUGGAGUCUUAAUGAAGAAGGAAAUAGUUGGAUGUAGUACAACCUUUAAAGAGAGGUGAGAUCAAGAGGCUAAAGAGGUAUCUUCAGAGGGGUAGAUAAUUCGGUUUAGAGACGUGUGAUUUCAUUCCUUUUGUUGUGGCUAUGGUAAUAGUGUCACGGGUCCAUCAGAUUGGUUAAAAACUAUUGAAAAAUAUUUGAGAAAGGAGUGUACAGGCAUAAGCUCGAGUGUGAUGAUAAGUGCUUUGUUUUUGUUUUUGAGUUUAGUAAUCAGUACGAUUGAAAUUUUAGCAAAAUAUAUUGUAAGAUCGAUGGAGAUGCGAUUAAUGAUAAGCGAAGAUCCAUGAAUUCAUAAAAAUCUUCAAGGUAUAAGCUAAUGUUGAUAGAUAAGGGGAUUGUGUUAUACAGUUGAAUUUACGAUUCAAAUUUUUCAUUGUAAGUCUACAUUCGUGGUGAUAUAUUUUUUCAAGGUAUGAAUUUUUAAGGUGAGAAAUGAUCAAUUGUAUCAGAUGUUGAACCUUUGAAAGGACUUACACCGGGUUUGAGUCGUAAAGUUUAUUACUUUUGAUUGUUAAAGUACCUAAGAAAUGUUUUCAUUUAAAAGUGCUGGUUUAGAGUAAGGUAAAUGGUCGGAGUGUUCAUGAUGGUUGUUAGUAAUGAGAGUGUGGACUUCAGUGGAAUGAUGUGAAGAGUAUGUGGAGUCAACCCAAUGGAAAUGACUGGUAUAGACUCUUCAAAGGAAAACCUUUAGUGUUAUUCCGUAAAAUUCUUAUGUGGCCAUCUAUUUCAUUUUGCACACGGUGGUGAGUAUGUUUUACUAGCUAUGCUCACAUGUUUUUUCACUUUUGUGGGUGGAUCUCUAGUGGUGGAUCAGGGGUACCAAUCAUGCGAUGUUCUCUGGUUGAGUGGGAUGAUUGGGAAUAUUGGUUAUUUCAGAUGACAUAUUUGGUGUUGUCUUGGAGUUGUUAAAGUAUUUCAGUGGUUCUACAUGUACCACCUUCCUUAUGAGAAUUCAUAGAAGAGCUACCAUGCAUAAUUAUGUUUGUCCGACAAUCUUAAUAUUCAUCUUGUCGUCGAGGUCAUGUAACGAUUAUGUGUGGUUGAAUAUGGAGAUCAUUGGGUCCAAUUCCACUGUUCUUAAGGGUAAUCUACAAUCACAAUUGCUAAAUCUAGCAUUUCAAUAGUUUUGUUAGGGGGUUUGUAUGCUUGGAUAUACCCCUCAAUAAGUAUCUAAUGUCUAAAGACCAUUUUUUUGUAACUUAAGCUUAUGGAAGUUUAUAUUGGGAGAUUGAGAUGUUGAUAAGAACUAAGAGUGUUGGGUAUUAUGAGUGUGUGUUGGUUAGUUCAGGUUCACUUCUAGUUGUAGUGAGUAUUGAUUUGGAUUUUUAUCAUGCUUAAGUGUUAAAGGAUUUGUCCGGAUGAUGGUGUCAAGGUCCUUGAUAACAUGUUGCAGACAUGUGUACGAGCAACUUUGGUGGUUGUUGGGUAUCGCUUUUGUUGUUAGUUAAGUUUACAUAUAACAAUAAUUAUCACUCGAGUAUUGACAUGACUUCAUGGAGGCAUUGUAUAGGAGGAUGUGUAGGUAUUCAAUUGGUUGGUUUGAGGUUGAAGGUGUGAAACCCUUAGGGGGUUGAUUUGGUGAAAGAUUUUCAAGAUAAGGUGAGAAGCAUCCAACCUAGCCUUCUAGAAGCCCAGAAUCGACAGGAAAAGUAUGCGGGAAAGUAUCCCUAGUUAUUCGAUGACUCGUGUACUACUCUACUCUUACCUUAGCCAAUUUUUCCUAGUUUAGCCAAUUUUUCCUAGUUUAUCACUCAGAGAUGAGUGAUAGGUAAAUUGGUAUCUAUUGUAAUGACUUGUUCCCGUUAUUAUGGAAAAGCCAAUGGGGAAUGAAUUUGGGCUAGAAAACUUUUGAGUAGUGACUUGAAAAAUUGUAGCCUAGUCCAGAUUUGGACAAAAUUUGAGUCAGGCGAAGUCUAGCGAAAUCUGGUAAUUAAUGGGGGAUCUAAUUAUGAAUUUGAUCACAUGAGUGGAUAGACAAGACGUUAAGGAGCCUAUACGGCUUUACAUAAUCAAAUUCGGGAUGGUAUAACUCCCGAAACUAAUCUUAGCGUGACCGGGUAGUUUUUGAACGUCAGGGUUGAAGGUGUGUUGUGAAAUGGGGGUUUGAAACUCUAAUUCCGACUCUCUGUCUUUGUAUAAGUCGCUAGGGUAGGGACGCUAAGGCGGGUUGGGUCCCGCUAUGAUGGGCCAGUCGAGACUUAAGUCGGGAUUAAACCCCAAAAACGUUAUUUUUCUGUAAGUUUCGUUCUUGAGAGCUAAGAGACGACCCAGGGAUAUUUCUUGAAGGUUUUCCACCUCUUCUAGCACUAAAGGUAAGGAUUUUACUCCCCUAAUCCAUUUUUUGAUCCGUAGAACUUAGAUUCUUGGUUAAUUAUUAUUGGGGGAGGGUUUUGGACUGAAUUUAAUGGUGGGAAAAAGCCUUAGUUGCACCUUAGGAUCAUGAGUUUGGUCUUGGGUUAUUGGGUUUUUUAUAAUCCGGGUAAUUAGACCUUAAUUAAUUGAUCCUUGCAUUAAAUUGUUGUUUGUAGACCUAGAACUAGCAAAAAGAAUCUGGAAAGGGAAGAUUCAAGUGCCUUAGGGGAAUUCAAUCUUGGUUUCGAGGUAGGUGAUGGUUUGAUUUCAUGUUUGUGAGAUAUAUGUUGGUAAUUGCUUCCUUGUAAUGCAUGUAUGUAUGUAAAUGAAGCAUUGUUGAUCAAACCUAAUGAAAAAAAGUAUGAAUGAACAAUUGAAUGCCAUGAUUCAACACUUGAUUGUCUGAUUUGAGUAUGUACAUAUGAGUGUGAUUGUGAUUGUGGUUGUGUUGAAUGGAUCGGAUGUCAAUUUCCGACACACUAACUGGGAUCGGUUGUCACGUUUCGACACUAACAUUGGAUCGGAUGUCAUGUUCCGACACAUAUAUUGGAUCAGGUGUCACAUUUUGGCACACUAAUUGGGAUCGGGUGCUACGUUCCGAUACACUAACAGUUUGGGUAUGAGUUCCAUGAGAGGACCAUUGAAUUGUCAUAUUCACUUAUUAUUGAGAAUGCGGAUUUGUACAUUGCUCUUGAAAUAAUAACUGUGCAUAUAUUCUGUAUAUGUCAUGUUUACUAUGUUGUGACUGCCUAUAUAUGUUUCGUUCAAUGGGAUAGUUGCGUGAUCUUACCAGUACACUGUGGUUGUAUACUGAUACUGCACUUGCUCAUUCUUUGUUGAGUACAUGACAUCUUCAGGAGGCUAUUGAUAGACCUCAUCUAGGAGAUCAGUGAUCGGAUCAGAUUUUAAGGGUGAGCCAGUUCUUUUAGGCUGCCAUGAAACCCUUCAUUUUUGUUUAGUCCAUUCUCUUCGGACUCAGACUAUUGUUUAGAUGUUUCUUAUGCUUAAUUUUGGGUUGUACCCAUUUUCUUAGACUUGUUGAAUUUAGAUGUUUUGGUACAAUGACUUUCAGAUUCUAAGGGUUAAACUUCCGCAUUAGUUUGGUUAGUUAUUUGUUAAAACCUUUGGAGUUUAUGAGAACUCUAUAUAAUUUCUGCAUUUAAACCUGCUUCCGUAUCUUUAAAUGUUUAGUUUAUUGUUGAGUUGCUUAGUUGGGUUGUAGUAAUGGUUCUCCCACCGGAGGGUUAGUGUGUGUAUCAAUCACGACUGUCUGGUUCGUGACACUCCAACUCAAGCAACAACAAACAUUUGGUAAUUUGACCUUGGUAGUUACACUAAGAAAUACUGAGGUACGAACCAGUAUGUGUAGCAUUCUCGAUGAUAUGUCUUCAUUAGUGGUCCUAUAUGAUACCGUUAGAGUAUCAAUAUACUGACGGAGUAUCACAGAUGAUUAAGCUCACUCCUAUAUGAUACCGAUAUGGUAUUAAUAUACCAACAAAGUGUCACAAAGGAUUAAUUCAUAGUAGUGAUGUUGAUGUCAUGUUGACAACAUGUGCGAAAUAAGAAAGGAGAAAGUGGGGUAAGCAUUUAAAUUGGUUGGGUCGCCGGUCCAUUAAGCCUAAAUAGAUGGAUAAAUUAUUAAACUAGUAAAAAAUUCUAACAUAAUUAUUAAAAAUAUCCAUAUUUUAUAAAUAUUAGUAAAAAUAUCAAAAUGUCAAUAUUUUAGAAAAUAUUGUGUAUCCUAAUUUAGUUCCUAUUUUAUCUCACCUUAAUUACACGUUUUCCAACUCAUUCUCCCUCAUAUGUUUUUAAAAAAAAAGUAUUCUCUCUCACUGAUUUCUCUCUUCAAGUUCAAAUUCUUCUUCAUCUUUAAAUUUCCGCCUCUCUCUCUUCCGUUAUUUUCAUUUUUUUCUUCAAAAAUUGGAAAAUAUAUCUUUAAAGAUAUUCACUACAAUCCCUUUGAUUAAAGUAUGCAUCUUUAUCCGAUUUUUAGAUUUGUUUACUGAUUUUAUUUUUGUUUAAAUUUUUUUUAAAAAAUGUUUGUAAUUGAGUAUUAAAUUGACCAAUUUUCGUUUAGGGCUUGAAAACCACAAAAUCACUCUCUAAUGGCCGAAUCUAAGAGGUUUACAAGAGGUAUCUAACUUAAUAAAAAAAUUCUAGCGAUUUUCCAUCCUUUAAUCUAUGUAUUAUUCAAGAAAUAGCGGAUAAUGUAGGAUCCGCUGCUAAAAUGACGAAAGAAGACGAUCGAAGAGUUGGUGUUUGCAUCCUUUUGUACUCUGAAUCUUCUAAGAGUUUUCUUAAUUUUUGUAUUCAUUACAGUUUUUUGAGUGGCCUGAUGUUUUUUUGUAUUCUGAAUCUUUUUGUUAUGUUGUAUUUUGUAUUCAUUACAUAAUCUGAGUGUUCAUUGUUUAUUGUAUUCUGAAUCUGAUUGGGUAGUUACACACUUGUAUUCAUUAAAGAAAUUGAGUGAUAUGGUGUAUUUUGUAUUCUGAAUCUGUAUGGUAUGUCGUAUUUUGUAUUCUGAAUAUUUUUGGUAUGUUGUAUUUUGUAUUGUUUAGAGAAUCUAGGUGGUUAUUUUUUUUUAUUGUAUUCUGCAUCUAAGUGGACAGUUACACUUUUGUAUUAAUUACAUAAACUGAGUUUUCUGUUAUAUUAUGUAUUCUGAAUUUAAGUGGUAUGUUGUAUUUUGGUAUUCAAUAUCAAAUUCAGUUUACAUCUUUGUUGAAUUUGUAUUUAUAGAUUUAACCUUGUUUUCAUGCUGAAUUGUUUAUUUGUUUCAUUUUGUAUUUUAUUAUAGGCAGCAUAAUCAAGAGCUUGAUGCCGGAGUCAUUAGUGAUAGUGAGGCACCUCCGAGGCAUAAACAUGCCUCACAUAGUUUGCGAUGAUAUUGAAACAAUUUGAAAUACAAUAAUGGUUUAUUUGUAGUUUGGUUAAUCUUGCUUGAUUCUAAACUAUUUUGUCUAAUAUACAUUUAUCUUUUUGUAGUAGUUUAUUCUGCAAAGUCGUCGUUUUAAUCUUAUGAAGUUUUGAUUUAUCAUUAAAAAGGUUUGACAUAUAUUAUUGUAUUUCAUUAAUUGCAUAUUUUGUAUCUCUUCAUAGAGUACUAAUUAUAAAUGGUUAUGGUUUGAAAUAACUAAAAACAAGGCGGAUUCGUUAGUGAUGUUUCAAAUACGGAUAAAAUUUGAGUUGACACGAUUAUUCCUAUACAAUUUAAUUAGAAUUUGAAUUCAUAAUCUAAGACCUAAAUUACCAAAUUGUAAUCUAUUUUUGUAUUCAUUCCUUCUAUAUUCAUCAACAGUUUUUUUUGUAUUUCACUUCGCUCAUCUUGUAUUUAGGUUUCACUUUAUAUGCCAUAAAUAUUUCGAGUUAUUUAAAAUUUUGUGUGCCAAAUGGUAUACCAACAAGGUUUGUAUUCAAUGUAUUUGAUUAUUUUGGAAUUUAAUUUCAAAAUCAUACAACUUUAAAAAUAUGUAUACAAUUUGAUUUAACACCAUUAUUUUCUAACACAAUUUAAUUAAAAUUUGAAUUCAUAAUAUAAGACCUAAAUUACACUUAUUUUUAGUUUAUUUUUGUAUUCAUUCUAUCUAUAUUGACAUUUUGAAAAUUUUCUCAAUUAUAUAUGAACAUUUUUUGUAUAUCGUUUUGCUCAUCUUGUAUUUUUCACUCUAUAUACCAAAAAAAAAAUAUUCCAGUUCUUUUAAAAUUUGUGUGCCAAAUGGUAUACCAACAUGGUUUGUAUUUAAUGUAUUUCACUUUACAACUUUGUAUUUCUUAUAAAUUAACUAGUCUUCAUAAUUAUAUACUUUGCUUGUUAUAUUCUACACAUCAUUAAAGACUAAUCAGAUUAAUAUGUUCCUUUUAAAAAUUGAUAAUGAAACUAUGUGGACGCUGCUCUGUGGUUUAUUUUUUUAUUUUGUAACUGAUGAGAAUUUUAAGUGAUAUGCUCCUUUUUAAAAAUAUUUUCUCCCCUAAAUUUCUCCUUUAUGUUAUUAAACAAUUGUAUUAUUUCAAUUAAAACAAAUAAUAACAACAUAAAUAAGAUAAAUAACAAACUACAAUUUUGAAUGUUUUAAUAAAUAUUGAAAGUGUGGCUAAGGGGUCCUAUUAAAUGCUAAAAUAUUGACAUUUUGAAAAUUUUCUCAUAAUAGAUUGGGUUGCGUCCAUUUUUGGUAAGUAAUUUCCCAAGUGGGUCCAUUUUGUGUAGUUUUUCCUUACUUUUAGUAGAGUAGUGAUAUAGAAAGUUUUAAUAAAGAAGUAAUUAAAUUACAUUUUAAUAUUGGGAAAGUUACGUAAUUACACGACUUAAUAUAACAUAGAUUGUGUUUGGUAUGAAGGAAAAUAUUUUAUUGGAAAAUAAGUUGAUUUCUAACUUAUUUUCUAAUGUUUGGUUGGUGAGUAAAGAUAUUUUUUAGUGUUUGGUUGACGAAUGAAAAUAUAUUUUCUAGAAAAUAUUUUUUAUUUUUGACUAGAGAGUAGAAAGUAUAUUUUAGGAAAAUAAUUUUUGAAUCGAAAACCAAUCUCGAUAACUGAACCAGGACCCGACCCCAACAUUCGAACUAGGACAUGACCCUGAAGAUUGAUUCUCAAUCCGACCCUGAGAUCUGGCCUAGGAUUUGGCCCUGACUUUUCACUCGAGACAUGACAUUUGAACUGGGAUUUGACCUCGACCCCGGUCCCAACACUCAAACCUAGACACAACCACGAUAAUCGAUCUGAAAUCCGAUCCCGAUAUUCGACCCAAGACAUGACCUCCAACACCCGACACCUAACCCUGACCCAACAGCGAUACCCCAAAAAUAUUUUCAAAAUAAACUUUGUUAAGAAAAUUAAGGGAGGGGGAGGGGUGGUAGGGUAAAAAAUGAAAUGUUUAAAAUUUAAAAUUUAAAAUCUUUUUCAAGAACAAAUUUUUAAUUUUCUUUUUUCGGNNNNNNNNNNNNNNNNNNNNNNNNNNNNNNNNNNNNNNNNNNNNNNNNNNNNNNNNNNNNNNNNNNNNNNNNNNNNNNNNNNNNNNNNNNNNNNNNNNNNGGCUGGUAGGAGGGUCGGGGUAGGGGGGCUCGUAAGGUGGUCGGUUUAUGGAUGAAGUAAAACAAAUGAAAUUUUUAAAAUUUGAAAUACUUUCAAAAACAAAUUUUUAAGAAAAAAAUUGUGGGGGAUGAUUAGUGGUUGGGUGGCGUAAAAAAAACUGAAACUUUUAAAAUUUGAAUUAGUUUAAUAAAUAAAUUUUUUAAAUUUUAAUUUAUUUGGUUUGGUGGGAGACUGCGUCUGGGGGCUGGUUUGGAAAAUGUUCCUUGCCUUUUUCAAGGGAAGUCAUUUUUUAAAAAUUUGAUGAAAAUAAGUUGAUUUGGAAAACAUUUUUCAAAAUAUUUUAAGUCAACCAAACAAGAGAAAAUUGGAAAACCAAACACACCCAUAAUCUCUAAGAAUCUCUACCAUUUGAAUUAAUUACAAAAAUUCAUUUUUUUUUCAUCUCCCUCUUAACAUCUAGAUGCAUUACUCCACUUCUAUCAGAUACAUUACAAUUUUAUUUGGGUACAAUGUAUGUGGUACAAAUGUUAUUAUUGAUACAACACCCCAAUUAUUUCAAACCUAAAUCAGUAUGAAUCUGGUUCAUAGUAGUGUAUCUUAUACAUAACUUAUGUAUCGUUGGCUAUGUAUUGGGCGAAGGAGCAAUGUAUCCACAAAUUCUGAAAAAUCCAAAAUUAUUGUAAUUUGAAAUUUUUUCAAAAUAGAAUGUAACUAGCACCCAAAUUAUUGGGAUAUUUGUAAUUUAAUAUUUUCCUAUAAAUGUAUAUGAAAUGUUAUUGGUUUGUCAAAUCAUUGACGCUCAAUACUUUUGUGUACAAUAUUUUCCAGUUGUUUAUAACCCAUUGUUUUUAUUAGAGGUCAAAAAUGAUAGAUACAAGUGCCAACAAAAUAUUGUUUCUCCCAAUUGCAUGUAUUCCUCGAAAAGGACCAAAACCAGGAAUACAUUGCCCUCUUUUAUCCUAAAUCUUCAUGACUCUUUGUUGAAUUUUGCAUUUUAUAUGCGUAUAUCAAGGUUUGAAUCAACAACUAUUCAUGAAUAAACAAAAUUCUUAAAAUUAUUUAAAACACACAAUUGUUGAAUUUAAUUCAAAUCUACGUAUUCAUUCAUAAUUUUGUUGUUCAUGUUAAAGAUUUUGUUACAGAAGAUUGGGGACGAUGCCGGAAAUAGAAUUUGGUAUGCACACGGUGAGAUCUCAUGGGGCUAAGGUGGCCAAAAAACACAAAUGUGACUGGUUGAUUUUACUUGUGCUUGUGGCAAUGGAUGGAUUCUUAAACUACAUUCAACCUUUCAAUCGUUAUACUAACUCAAAAAUGUUGGAAGAUCUCAAAUUUCCUUUCAAGGAACACGACACCAUCCCAAUGUGGGCCGUUCCUGUAUGUAUUUACUUCGGAGUUUAACUUAUAUAUAUCUCAAUAGUUUUUUUUUAUAACCUAUUAUAGCGAGUUACAUGUCUUAUUUUUCAGGUUACUAGCUAACUUCGUUUAUUAUGGCCUAUUUAUUUGUAACUACCUUUAAGUAAUGUGAUGGCAUAAAAGAGUUCUACACAUCCAAUGGUGUGUUGAAGUUAAACUCUACUACUUUUAUGUAGGGGAGUAUCUAGAGAGGUGGGAAGGUGUUCGGUCAAACCCCUUGGUAAAAAAUUAUAUUGUAUAUAGGGUAGAUUAUCUAUAUAUAUAAGUUGUGAAUUCCCUGAACAACGUGCAGAAGGUUAGCUCAAUGAUUCAAGAUAUUUGAAAUGCACCCUAACAUCCAAGGGUUUGAUUCUUAGGGAUUGCAAUAUUUUUCGAACACCCUGAGUGAAAAACCUGAACCCGACACAGCUUUUAUGGCUUUAAAACUCAAUAAUUCUCAUACCUCCAAAUGAUUAUACCCUUUGUUACAUUCUUUUUGUUGUGGUAGAAAUGAGUAUUCAUUUUCUGAGGUUUUACCCCAUCCUUUUUUUGAUAAUUUUCCCACUAUAACAGAUAUUUGCAAUAAUUCUACCAUGCACAGUGUUUCUCAUUUACUAUCACUACAGGAGGGAUGUAUAUGAUUUGCAUCAUGCCAUAUUGGGUGGGUUUUAUUUGAAGUUUUAUAAGGAAAAAACAAUUUUCGAUUUUUUGGAUUUUCAUUGUAGUUAGUACUAUGAAAUUGAUGACCUUUUGCUUGUAAAUCUAGGCAUCCUGUAUUCUGUUCUAGUGACUGCAGUAAUCACCGAUAGCAUCAAAGAUGCUGUUGGUCGUCCACGCCCAAAUUUCUUCUAUAGAUGCUUCCCGGAUGGAAUCGAGGUGUGUCUCCUUUUUCACACUUUAACAUAAUAUUAUGCCUUGAACUUCGGAGAUUCUUUCAUGUAGUCCAAAAUAUGAUCCAACUCAAAAGGUCUGUGAUUCAACCUAUAAGUCGAUACUAUGUGAUCGAGGUCUGUGCUAAGCGCAAAAAUUCAACUUUUACUGUUUAUGGCAAUGGGGGUAAUUGGAAAAGACACGGCCUAAGUGUUCAUUUUUCUUCUUUUAUAAUGUGUGUGUUAUUCUGAGUAUGCCAUAACAUAACAGUUAACUCGAAAAGUUUGACAUCAACUCUAAUACAAAUUUUGCAUUAAGAUACCUUUUUCAAUUCAUAUGCAGGCCUUUCAACCUAAUGGGGAUGCUAAUUGUCAUGGAGACCCUAAAGUUGUGAAAGAAGGAUAUAAAAGCUUUCCCAGUGGACAUACCUCAUGUUAGUAGUGUUCAUUUAUUCUUAGUUUCUUCGUUUUUGUUUGUUUUCUUCUUGUUUAUGAGUUUAUGCUUGUCAAAAUAUAGGGUCAUUUGCUGGCCUUGCUUUCCUGUCAUGGUACUUGUGUGGAAAAGUGAAGGCUUUUGACAGAAGAGGCCAUGCUGCAAAACUCUGUAUUGUUCUGCUUCCUUUACUCUUUGCUGCAUUAGUCGGAAUUUCUCGGAUUGAUGACUAUUGGCAUCACUGGACAGAUGUAUUCACUGGAUCCAUUAUAGGUUGGUUCAACGUUCCUAUCCAACACUUGUAUGGAUUCACUACUUUGAUAAGUUUGCAAAUUGAUUUUAGCUUGUUUACCUGAUAAUAUAAAAGUAUACUAUUAGUAUCAUGUAGCAGGUUAACCACUAUAGACAUUGCAUGUAGUUGGCCUUCAAAUGAACUAAUAGUGUAAAAAAACAUUACACUAUCAAUGUUCGCGCCUUAUAAUUAUCAAAUUCUGACUAUGCUAUUCUGAGAAAUAGUGUAGCUAAACAUCUCAGUGUUUUUUUCGUACAGGAAGCGUGGUUGCCUCUUUAUGCUACCUGCUUUUCUUUCCAUUCCCUCAUGAUAUCAACGGUACAGCCUCAACUCUCUGAAAACAGAAUGAAUCUCUUAGUUCAAUGUCAACGUUACUAGUUAUUUUCUAAAUAUUGUUCAUUUUUCCAUGAUAACAGGGUGGGCACCUCAUGCAUCUAUCAAAAUGAGAGAAAAUAUUAAAUUGCACUCUACAUCAAUAGGAAUUGACACCGUGUAAUGCAACGAGAGUACAAGAGGCAACCCUCAUUAUCCAGGCAUGAACAGUAAUGCAAGAUGUUGAUGGUGAUGGAAGGAGAUACUGAAUUCAGAUCUCCAUAGCCUCGUCGAAAGAGCAAAUACAUCAUCUAAACCUUUGUACUCUUCUUUUAGUUUAGUCUGGCUUAUGUUGGCUCAGUCUGAAGUCAUAUCUAUAUAUCAAAAGAGUUGUACAAUAUGGAGAGAACAUUGUUCAUUACCUCCUCAUUUUCUAUGGGGACAAAGAAAAGGUUCAAAGUACUCUUACAAAACAGUCUUGUUGUACAUUUGUAUCUACAUCUAAAUAAGAUGAAAGAGAUUACUCCGAUUGUUGGGUUCCAAAGAACUAGGGCGUCAUGUUGAAGCUUACAAUUGUAAAUAAUGUUUGGAAUAAAUAAAUGACAAAAACUUAUACUAAAAAUAUAAUACUGUUAUAUAAUUUGGUCAAUUGGUCUAUAUAUGAGAAAGCAAUAUAAAGAAAAUAUUGAAACUAUUGAGGAAAAAAUCUCUCCCUAAACAAAACUCUUAAAUGACUACAUUCUGGAUGUUAUUAUGGUCUUUUGGUAUGAGAAGAGAGUUAUUCAAUUUAUAGAGUUUCAAGCUUUUCCUCAAAAAAGGAAUAACAAAUAUGGAAGAGAAUUAUAUUUUCCUUGUAGAAAAUAACAAAAGCAGUUAUGAUAAUGCUAAUAUGGUUAGAAAAUCAAGACAAAACCUUACUAUCUAGGUACAAAUGUGAGAUCACUAAAGUUAAAGCAGCUUCUUGACCGAGCAAAAAAUUAUGAUUUUAUUGUAUAAUGAGAGAAUAAUGUAAGAAUACUAAACACGAAAGGAAGAAAAUAAUAUGGAAAAUCGAAUGUAGAAAGUAUAUUGCAGUUCUCUUCAAAUGUGUCUUUCACAAGGGUGAAGAAUACACAAUACUAAACACGAAAGGAAGAAAAUAAUAUGGAAAAUAUUUAUAGGACAGUAUAUUGCAGUUCUCUUCAAAUGUGUCUUUCACAAGGGUGAAGAAUACACCUUUAUAGGACAAACAAUUCAUCUGCUUACAACCUCUAAAAAUGUGUCAGUACUAUAUUUAAGAAAUACAUUAAAUAGAUUCUACGUUAGGGAGUUAAUUGAAUGAAAUAUCUACAAUUGAACGACUUCAUAACACUUUUCCUUGGAUGUUUAUAGAUAAUGUGCCUCAUCAAAUCUUACUAGGAAAAAGCCUAGUGAAGAAAAAAAGUACACAUAUCUCGUUAUACGUCUUGUGUGUUGCCUCAUUAAAUACCUUAUCAGGAAACUCUAGUAGGACAAAACCUUGAUGAAGGGAAAAAGAGUACUUUGCGUAUUUUAAUCCUCUCGAUGAAAACUUUAUUUGAUACUCCUUCCGUCCCUUUUUAUAUGUCAUUCCUUUCUAUAAAUAUCUGGACCACAAUACUUGUUAUUUUAUAAAAUUUAUGCAUAAGUUACCAUAUUUUGCCUAUUAUAACCCUUGAUAGAGUAGUUAAUUAAUCUUGAAAAUGUAUUCAUCAUUUAUUAUAAAGUUGACUUAAGAAAACAUUAUAUAAGGGUAGAAGGGUAAAGUUACAUCAUUUCUUAAUGCAAGUGCAAAGUAAAAGUGUGACAUAUAAAAAAGAACGGAGGGAGUAUCUCGGAGACGAGAAUUCCAGUCUUAUAUCUUAGCUUCUGAAAUAUUGACAUUGACAAUGUCUUAAUAAACAAAACUGAAAUAUUAUCACUCGAAUGAAUCUGUUGAACAUCUACCUCACUAUUUUGUUGAAGAUCACGUGUGAAAAAGAGCUAAGGUGAUAUAUAUUUUGUUUGGUCUCCUUUGAUAUAUCCUUCCUUCAAUUGAGAUAUGCAAGAAUCAUUAUUUUUAUAUAAUAUUAUUGGAAUUUUUGUUUACACAGAAAGACCACAUAAUUGCAAAAUAUGUUGAGUCAUUGAUCUCAACCAUACACACUUUCGAUUGGUUUUAUGAAUGACCAUUAUUUCUGCGUAAUUUGAAGAAGUGACAACUAUUGUUUACUUCAUUGAUAGUCAUGAUGUCGUUGUACCUACACAUGUGAAUAAAUAGCCUCUGAGGUUGAAUUUUGUGUGAUCAGACAAAUAUCCUUUUCAUGCCCCAAAAUCGGGUCAUGAUGACGUCCACUACAACCCACCGAGUGGACAAACCUAAACUCAAAUAACAGGAUGCGGAAGACACAGUUUAUACAAAAACAAUAAUAAUAAGUGGAAGACUAGAGUAAUAUAGAGAAAAAGGGUCAUAUCAUAUAUAUCUGUAGUGCAAAAUGUAGAAAAUAGGCCCAAAAGUGACCAAAUAACAAACUAACACAAGAUACCAAUCCCCCGAAUCUAGUGUCAGCUAUACAGGAGCUACUACGAACAAAAAGCUAUAAGUAUAUACAGAAAACUGUGUAACGACCCGUUAGAUUAUUUUGAGUACUAGAACUAUUUUGACACUUCCCGUAAAUUCUAAAUGGGCAUUUUGAACUAUUCGUAACUAUAAUUAUAUACCUAGUGGGGUAAUUUUAAUAAUUAAUCUAGUUGGUGGUUAAGAAAAUAGCAUUAAAAUUAGUAAUGGGCCACUUCCACUACUUUUAUAAUUAGUCAUGUAUAAUAAUUAGGGUUGUAAAUAAUCUGGAGAAGAAAGAAAGAGAAAAUAGAUGAUCGGCCACGAAAACCAAGUUGCAACGAGCGCUUCAGGUGAGAAAAGUUUUUCAGCUUUCAAUAUUAGAUCGUUGCGUAUAUAAAUAGAUUAUUAUAUUGUUAGAAUAAAGAGGUGAAUUGCUAUUUCUAUUUGCACCCACACGAAUUUGAUUGGAAAAAUUGAAACCAAAAGUUGUGGGGAAUAAGAUCUGAAGGUCGUCAUUGUUUAAUGAUCAACUUCUUUUCCAUUUGAGAAAUUGAAAUUUGGAAAGAUGCUCAGGUGGUUUAUACGUAUGCAUGGAUGGUUGUUUGAUUUUCUUCUGUUCAAGUUAUUGUAUGUAAAUUGAUGAUAAUUUGGGGGUCCUCUUCUAUUUUAUUGUUACAAUUGUUUUACAAAAUCAAGUUUUGACACUACUAUUAUUAUAUAUAACUAAAUAUUAGGUGUAUUGUAUUAUAUAAAUACCAUUAUAGUUAUGUUAUUUGGAGGAACUAAGAUUUAACCCUAGGCUUAAAUUUAAGAAAUAUGGGAUUUGACCUAUUAAUGAAAAUCAUGUUUGAAACUUCAUUAUAGAAUUGAGCUCGUUUACCUAAAUGUUAUGCAUAUAUGAUAGAUUGGGAACAUUCGGAGGAAUUGAGGAAAGAAAAGCAUUGGGGAAUUAACUUGCUUGACUUCAGCUCUUCGGUGGAGGUAGGCUAUGGUUUAUUCUAUGUGAUAGAUAAACUCUUAAUAGUGAUUGAUAGUCAUUGAGUAAUAUUGUGAAUUUUUCUAUGUACUUGGUUGUUGUGGUUUGGAUAAUUCAUGUGUUGUUGUGAUUGGUUUGUAAUCCCAAGACCGCGAAAUCCAUAAUCUUGAACUUGUUCUAUUAAAGUGAUGUCUCGAAUAAAGAAGGCUUAAUAAAAUAUUAUUAGGGAAGCGGAAAGAAAUUAUCAAGAAUGACAAAUGAAGUAAAAAUAUAUUUGGAUCGGGUGCCACGAGUCGGCAUGAUAUAAUAUGAUCGGGUUUCACGUUCUGACACGGUAUUAUUGGAUCGAAUGUCACGUUCCGACACGGUAUUAUUGGAUCGGUGUCACAUUCCGACACGUUAUUAUUGGAUAGGGCAUCCGUUCCGAUACGAUAUUAUUGGAUCGGGUGUCACGUUCCGGCACGGUAACAUUAAAGGAAAAUAUAUUGAAUUAACUGAAUGCACUCAAUCUCAAAGAACUCAUUUCCCAAAUGAGCGUGGUGUGGAGGCAUGAGUCCUCGUGUAUGUGUGUCUUUGGUAUUGUGACUGAUUAAGUAUUUGCUUCAGCGUUGUUGUCACUUGUUCAUGUUGUUCGUUGCUUGCCACCUGUUAAGUGUUAUAGUUGAUUUGAUGUUAUUACUUUAUGCAUAUUAAUUUCUAUUUUGAGUCGGUCGAUGAUAUCUACUCAGUACAUGUUACCCUGUACUGAUCCCUACUUGUCUUUUCUUCGUUUUCCUUUUGUGGAGUGCAGCGAGUAUACCAGCGACUUUGACUCGCCCUCAGCUCUAGCCAAUCUCCAGCAUAUCAGCUUCUAUAGAUAGCUAUUCAUCCGAGCUCGUGUUGGAUUCUCUCGGUCAUGGCAGGAUGUCCUUAGUUUUUGAACACAGACUAUUUUAUGCAUUUAUUUUGGUGUCUUGAUACUCUUAGACUUAGUAUUUGGAGAUUAGAUGUCCUUGAUGUGAUGACUUUCAGAUUUUGGGAAACGAUAUUUAAUAGAUGUUAGUGGAUUUGUCUUUCAUACAUUAAUAAGAUUUAAGCUUCUACAUUAUGGUUAGUAUUUCGUAAGAUGAACAAUAAAUAUAAAUUGGGGUUGAAUUCAUUGGUUCUCCCACCUAGGAGGUUGUAACAACCUGUUUCUGUUGUUAGGGAAAAGCCAUUGGAGAAAAAAUUGGAUCCGACUCCUCUCCAUUUCUCUUCUCUCUAUUUUCACCAAGUUCUAGCUUGGAUUGGAGACACAUGUCAUAGUUUAGAAUUAAUGGUUGGGAUCUAAUUAAUUAAAGCAAAGUCCUAACCAUAGUUAUUUACUUUCAUAUAUUUGUUUCUUAAAUAUCUUUGCUAUCCAGUAUAUUUUUCCUAAAUAUAUUUAAAACUUUUCUUUACUGCCCUGCAUACAUAUUUAAAACUUUUACUAAAUAUUUUUACUUUUUUGAAAAAAUAUUAUAAUAAAUUUAAACGUUUUUAUUAAUUCUAAUAAAGUAUUAAUAGCUACACUGUCUAUAGAGCAAUAUGGACUCCAUUUUGCAAUUCAUUAUAUUUUCCCUAAAUAUAUUAAAAAAAUAUUUUACUCCUAAAAUUAGAAAAAAACGUAAGGUAACAAUUUUUAAUUUUUAAUUUGGUAAAUAUUAUUUAAGAAAUGGCAAACGUUAGGGAAAAAGGUAAAAAAAAUCAGCAAAAAAUUACUCAAGUAAUUAAGAAAAGAAAUUCUUAAAAUAUAUUUAGGAAAAAUAUAAUGUAAAUCUACAAUUGUCGGAUUGUAAAAAUAUUUAAGAAGCAAAUAUAUGGAAGUAAAUAACUAUGGUUAGGACUUUACUUUAAUUAAUUAGAUCUCAACUAUUAGUUCUAAACUAUGACAUGUGUCUCCAAUCCAAGCUAGAACUUGGGGAAAAUGGAGAGAAGAGAAAUGGAAAGGAGUCGGAUCCAAUUUUUUCUCCAAUGGCUUUUCCCUAACAACAGAAACAGGUUGUUACGACCUCCUAGGUGGGAGAACCAAUGAAUUCAACCCUAAUUUAUAUUUAUUGUUCAUCUUACGAAAUACUAACCAUAAUGCAGAAGCUUAAAUCUUAUUAAUGUACGAAAGAGAAGAGAAAUGGGGCUAGAAAACUUUUGAGUAGUGACUUGAAAAUUCCUAGCCUAGUCCAGAUUUGGAUGAAAUCUGAGUCAUGCAAGUCUAGGGAAAUCUGGUAAUGAAUGAGAGAUUAAAUAAUGUUACAUGAGUGGAUAAAAAAGAUGUUAGGUAGCCUGUACGGCUUUAUGAAAUCGAAUUCGGGUGAGUAAAACUCCCGAAACUCACCUUAGUGUGAACAUGUAGUUUUUGCACGUCAAGGGUUGAACGUGUGUUGUGAAAUGGGGGUUGAAAGUCUAAUUCCGAAGUUCUGCCUCGGCGCAAGGCGCCAUGGCGGGAUUUAUUCCGCCAGGGCAGGGCCGCUGUGGCGGGAUGGGGUCUGUCGUAGCAGCCCAGUCGCGAAUUAAGUCGGGAUUAAACCCCAAAUAUGUUCUUAUUCUGCAAUUUUUGUUCUUGAGAGCUAUGAAACGACCCAGAGAAAGUUCUUGACAGUUUUCCACCUUUUCUAGCGCGAAAGGUAAGGUUUUUACUCCCCUAAUCAUUUUUUCAAUUCGUAGAACUUAGAUUCUUGGGUGAUUAUCAUUGGGGUGGGUUUUGACCUGAAACUAAUGAUGGAAAAAGCCCUAAGUUGGGUAUUGGGAUCUUAGGUUUGGCCUAGGGUUGAUAAUUCGAUUGUAAUUCGGGUAAUUAGGCCUCGUUUAUUGAUCCUUGCAUUAAUUUGUUGUUUUUAGACCACGAACAAGCGGAAAGAAUCCGAAAAGGGCAGAUUCAAGUGCUUUAGAGGAAUUCAAGCUUGGUUUUGAGGUAGGUGAUGGUUUGAUUUCAUGUUUGUGUGACGUAUGUUGGUAAUUGCUUUAUUGUAAUGCAUGUAUGUAUGUGAAUGAAGCACUACUGAUCAAACCUAAUGAAAUGAGAAUGAAUGAACAAAUGUAUGCCAUGAUUCAACACUUGAUUGUAUGAUUAUGAGUAUGUACAUUAUGAGUGUGAAUGUGAUUGUGGUUGUGUUGAUUGGAUCGGGUGUCACGUUUCGACACAUACAUUGGAUCAGAUGUCACCUUUCGACACAUAUAUUGGAUCGGGUGUCACGUUUCGACACACUAAUUGGGAUUGGGUGUCACGUUCUAACACACUAACAGUUUGAGUAUGGGUUCCAUGAGAGGACCAUUAAAUUGUCAUAUCUACUUGUUAUUGAGAAUGAGAAAUUGUACAUUGCUCCUGAAAUGAUAAUCGAUGUGUGUGUAUAUAUAUAUAUAUAUAUAUAUAUAUAUAUUCUGUACUUGUCAUGUUUACUAUGUUGUGACUGUCUAUAUAUGUUUCACUUACUAGAAUAGCCGUGUGAUCCUACAAGUACAUUGUGAUUGUGUACUGAUACUACACUUUCUCAUUCUUUGUUGAGUACAGAACAUCUUCAGGUGGCUAUUGAUAGACCUCAGCUAGGAGAUCAGUGAUUAAGACCGGAUUUCAAGGGUGACCCAUUUCUUUCAGGCUGUCAUGGAGUCUUUCUUAUUGUUUAGUCCAUUUCCUUCGGACUUAGACUAUUUAGAUACUUCUUAUGUAAGUUGGGGUUGUACCCUGUUUUCUUAGACUUGUUGCACUUUAUAUGUUUUGGUACAAUGACUUUCAGGUUCUAGGGGUUAAACUUUCGCGGUAGUUUGGUUAGUUAUUUAUUUAAACCUUAGGAGUUUAUGGGAACUCUAUAUAAUUUCUGCAUUUAAACCUGUUUCUAUAUCUUUAAAUGCCUAUAUUUUAAUUAAGUUGUGUGGUUGGGUUGUAGUAGUGGUUCUCCCACCGGAGGGUUAGUAUGGGCGAAUCACGACGAUCUGGGUCGUGACAAAGUUGGUAUCAGAGCCCUAAGUUCGUUGAUUUCCUUGUACCAAAAUGAGUCUAGUAGAGUCUUGCGGAAUGGUACAGAGACAUUUGUACCUUUCUUUGAGAGGCUACAUGACUUUAGGAAAUCACUUUGUUUCUACUAUUUUCGUGUUAUGACUUGAUUCCAAUUGGUAUCUGGUGAUCCAAAUUGGUAUUUAUCUUCUUCCAACUUAUGUUCGCAGAUGGUUAACACUCGUUUCAACGGCGUCAGGCGCAUAGCUCCCGUCAAUGAGUCAACUAAGGUCAUAUCUUCCAUUUGGGCUAGGAAACUGGUGGCGCUGGGGUGUUUGGCAUAUUUGGCUCUUAUUCAGGAUGUUGAGGUUGAGUCUCUCUCUCGAUUAAGUCUAUUCCAGUUUUAGAGAAGUGUUUCCUACUGAUUUGCCUUGUAUGCCUCCAGAUAGAUAUAUAGAUUUCUGUAUUGAUUUGGAACCUGAUACCCGCCCCAUUUCCGUUCCACCGUAUCACAUGGCUCCAGUGGAAUUGAGAGAGCUUAAGGCUCAAAUCCAGGAGCUUCUUGAUAAAGGGUUCAUUCGUCCUAGUGGUUCCCCAUGGGGUGCUCCUGUUUUGUUUGUUAAGAAAAAAGAUGGCAGUAUAAGGAUGUGUAUAGACUAUCGAUAGUUGAAUAGGGUCACCAUUCGAAAUAAGUAUCCGCUUCCUCAGAUAGAUGAUGUUUUUGACCAGUUGCAAGGUGAGUCAGUUUUCUCUAAGAUUGAUCUAAGGUCUGGUUACCAUCAUUUAAAGAUUAGGCCCGAGGAUGUACCAAAAACGGCAUUUAGGACCCGAUUGACCAAUACACCUGCAGCCUUCAUGAGUUUGAUGAAUGGCGUGUUUAAACCAUUCCUGGAUUCUUUUGUUAUUGUCUCUAUUGAUGACAUUUUGGUGUAUUCAAAGAGUAAGGAAGAGCAUGCUAACCAUCUUUGUAUAAUUUUGGGUGUCCUUGGGAAACAAAAGUUGUAUGCCAAACUUUCCAAGUGUGAGUUCUGGUUGGAUUCAACUAACUUCUUGGGGGAUGUAGUUUCAAGAGAAGGGGUAAUGGUAGAUCCCCAAAAGAUUGAAGCGGUUAAGAAUUGGGUCCGGCCUAGCUCUGUGACUGAAGUUAGGAGUUUUGUGGGGGCUCACUAGCUACUAUCAUCGGUUUGUGUAAAAUUUUACUUCUAUUGCCACACAUUUGACAAGGCUGACUAAGAAGGAGGUACCUUUCGAAUUGACCAAAAAAUGUGAAGAGAGCUUUCAAAAGCUCAAGACUCUUCUGACUACAACACAUAUUCUGGCACUACCGGUGAAAGGUAAAGAUUUCAUUAUUUAUUGUGUUGCUUCACAUUCGGGUUUGCGUGCUGUGUUGAUACAGGAUAAGAAUGUUAUAGCUUACGCAUCGCGGAAGUUGAAGGUGCAUGAGAGAAACUACUCGACACAUGAUUUGGAGUUGGCAGCGAUAAUGUUUGCUCUUAAGAUCUGGCGGCAUUACCUUUAUGGUGUCACGUGUAAGGUGUUUACUGAUAAUCGUAGUUUGCAACAUGUAUUCACUCAAAAGACCUAAAUCUGAGACAUCGAAGGUGGAUGGAGUUACUUAAACAUUAUGAUGUCACCAUUUAGUAUCAUCCGGGUAAGGCUAAUGUGGUGGCAGACGCACUAAACCGAAAGGCGGUAAGCAUGGGUAGUCUAGCUUGUUUGGGUGUAUCCAAGCGGUCGUUGGCCAAGGAUAUUCAGACUUUGGAGUCUAAGUUCAUGCAGCUGGGCAUCUCAGAGAAAUGUGGGGUGUUAGCUUGCAUUGAGGUUAGACCCACAUUCAUUGAGGGGAUAAUGGCCAAAUAGUUUGAGGAUGAGAAUUUGAAUGAGCUUAGAAAGAAGACAUUGUCUGGUAAGGCACAAGAUAUGGUUCUUGAUGCGGGAGGUGUGCUUAGUUUUAAGGGAAGAAUUUGUGUUCCCCGAGUGGAUGACUUGAUUCAGCAGAUGUUGACAGAAUCCCAUGGUUCACUGUAUUCCAUUUAUCCAGGUUUGACCAAGAUGUACCGAGAUUUGAAGCGAUUAUAUUGGUGGUUUGGUAUGAAGAAAGACAUAGCUGAAUUUGUGGCUAAGUGCCAAAACUAUGAGCAUCAAAGGCCUGCAGGCUUGCUUCAGAGAAUGCUAAUUUUGGAAUGGAAGUGGUAAAUGAUAGCUAUGGAUUUUGUGGUUGGUCUCCCCAAGACUUUGGGGAAGUUUGAUUCUAUUUGGGUAGUGGUUGACAGAUUGACUAAGUUAGACUCUUUUAUUCCAGUCAUAAUAGACUAUAAUGCUUAGCAGUUGGCUAAAGUUUAUGUGAAAGUGAUAGUGAGGCUGCACGGGGUGCCCUUUUCUAUCAUCUCAGACCGUGGUACGCAAUUAACAUUCAAGUUCUAGGGAAAUUGCAUGACGAGUUGGGCACUCAACUCAGUUUUAGUACAACUCUCCAUCCACAGAUGGAUGGGCAGUUAGAGAGAACGAUUCAAGUGUUAGAGGACACGUGUGAUUGAUUUUGGGGGACAUUGGGAUAAGUUCCUACCGUUGUGUGAGUUCUCCUAUAAUAAUAGUUUCCACUCCAACAUUGACAUAGCACCUUUCGAGGCACUUUAUGGGAGGGAAUGUAGAUCACCCAUAGGGUGGUUUGAGGCUAGAGAUGUGAAACCUUUGGGGUGGAUUUGGUGAAAGAUGCUCAGGAUAAAGUGAGAAGUAUCCAAGCUAAGCUUCUAACAGCCUAGAGUCGACAGAAAAAGUAUGCAGACCGUAAGGUAAGGACAUGGCCUUUCAGGCUGGAGAGCAAGUUCUUCUAAAAGUGUUACCCAUAAAGGGAGUAAUGCGAUUCGGUAAGAAGGGCAAGAUUAGUCCUCGAUACAUUGGUCCAUUUGAGAUUCUUGAGUAUGUAGGUCCAGUGGCUUAUAGAUUGGCCUUACCCCCUAGCUUAUCCGGAGUUCAUCUAGUGUUUCAUGUGUCCAUGUUGAAGAAGUAUCAUGGCAACAGAGAUUACAUCAUAAAGUAGGACUCAGUGGUGUUAGACAAAGACCUUCAGUAUGAAGAGGAAUCGAUUGCAAUUCUUGAUCAUGAUGUCCGAAAGACGAUUACCAAAGAGAUUAAGUCUAUGAAAGUUCAAUGGAAGCAUCGUCCAAUCGAGGAAGCUACUUGGGAAAUCGAGAAGGACAUGCGAGACAGUAUCCCCAAUUGUUCAACGAUUCAAGUACUACUCUACCCUUACUUUAGCCAGUCUUUCCUAGCUGAUCACUCGGGGACGAGUGAUGGGUAAACUGGUAUCUACUGUAACGACCUGUUUCUGUCGUUAGGGAAAAGCCAUUGGGGCCAAAAAACUUUUGAGUAGUGACUUGAAAAUUCCUAGCCUAGUCCAGAUUUGGACGAAAUCUGAGUUAUGUAGGUCUAGGGAAAUCUGGUAAUGAAUGAGAGAUUCAAUAAUGAAUUUGGUUACAUAAGUGGAUAUCGUAGACGUUAGAGAGCACGUACGGAUUUACGAAAUCAAAUUCGGGUGAGUAGAACUCCUAAAACCGACCUUAGUGUGAACGGGUAGUUUUGAAUGUCAAGGGUUGAAUGUGCGUUGUGAAAUGUGGGUUUGAAACUCUGAUUCCGAUGUUAUGUCUCCGCGCAAGCCACCAUGGCGGGAUUUAUUCCGCCAAGGCGGGGCCGCUGUGGCAGGAUGGGGUCCGUCAAAGCGGCCCAGUAGCGAAUUAAGUCGGGAUUAAACCCUAAAACGUUCUUAUUUUGCAAUUUUCGUUCUUGAGAGCUAAGAAACGACCUAGGGCAAGUUCUUGAUAGUUUUUCACCUCUUCUAGUGCGAAAGGUAAGGUUUUUACUCCCCUAAUCCAUUUUUCGAUCCGUAGAACUUAGAUUCUUGGGUGAUUAUUAUUGGGGGAGGGUUUUGACCUGAAACUAAUGGUGGAAAAAGCCCUAAGUUGGGUAUUGGGAUCUUGGGUUUGGCCUAGGGUUGAUAAUUUUGAUUGUAAUCCAGAUAAUUAGGCCUCGUUUGUUGAUCCUUGCAUUAAUUUGUUGUUUUUAGACCACGAACAAGUGGAAAGAAUUCGGAAAGGGAAGAUUCAAGUAUCUUAGGGGGGAUUCAAGCUUGGUUUCGAGGCAGGUGAUGGUUUGAUUUCAUGUUUGUGUGAUGUAUGUUGAUAAUUGCUUUAUUGUAAUCAUGUAUGUGAAUGAAACACUAUUGAUCAAACCUAAUUAAAUGAGUAUGAAUGAACAAGUGUAUGCCAUGAUUCAACACUUGAUUUUACAAUUAUGAGUAUGUACAUUAUGCGUGUAAAUAUGAUUGUGGUUGUGUUGAUUGGAUCGUGUGUCACAUUCCGACACACAUUGGAUCGGGUGUCACGUUCCGACACACUAAUUAGGAUCGGGUGUCACGUUCCGGCACACUAACAAUUUGGGUAUGGGUUCCAUGAGAGGACAAUUGAAUUGUCAUAGCUACUUGUUAUUGAGAAUGUGGAAUUGUACAUUGCUCCUGAAAUGAUAACCGGUGUAUAUAUAUUUUGUACAUGUCAUGUUUACUAUGUUGUGACUGCAUAUAUAUGUUUCACUUACUGCAAUAGCCGCGUGAUCCGACCAGUGUACUGUGGUUGUGUACUAUAUGACACUUUCUCAUUCUUUGUUGAGUACAGGGCAUCUUUAGGCGGCUAUUGAUAGACCUCAGCUAGGAGAUCAGUGAUCGAGACCAGAUUUCAAGGUUGAGCCAGUUCUUUCAGGCUGCCAUGGAGUCCUUUCUAUUUUUUAGUCCAUUUCCUUCGGACUUAGUAUAUUUAGAUAUUUCUUAUGUUAGUUGGGGUUGUACCCCGUUUUCUUAGACUUGUUGCACUUUAGAUGUUUUGGUACAAUGACUUUCAGGUUCUAGGGGUUAGACUUCCGCGUUAGUUUGGUUAGUUAUUUAUUUAAACCUUUGGAGUUUAUGGGAACUCUAUAUAAUUUAUGCAUUUAAACCUGCUUUUGUAUCUUUAAAUGCCUAUCUUUUCAUUAAGUUGUGUGGUUGGGUUGUAGUAGUGGUUCUCCCACCAGAGGGUUAGUGUGGGUGUCAAUCACGACGGUUUGGGUCAUGGCAAAGUUGGUAUCAGAUCCCUAGGUUCGUUGAUCUCGUUGUACCAAAACGAGUCUAGUAAAGUCUCUCAUAACGGUACGGAGACAUUUGUACCUUUCUUUGAGAGGCUAUAUGACUUUAGGAAAUCUCUUUGUUUCUACUCUUUUCAUGCUAUGACUUGAUUUCAAUUAGUCUCUAAUAUUCUUCCUACUUCUGUCCAUAGAUGGUUAACACUCAUUUCAACGGCAUCAGGCCCGUAGCUCCCGUCAAUGAGUCAGCUAAGGUCAUAUCUUUCAUUCGAGUUUGGAAAGUGGUGGGGCAUGGUUGUUUGGCAUAUUUGGCUCAUAUUCGGGAUGUUGAGGUUGAGUCUCCCUCUAUUGAGUCUAUUCCUGUGGUAUCAGAAUUUAGAGAAGUGUUACCUACUGACUUUCAGGUUUUAGGGGUUAAACUUUCACGUUAGUUUGGUUAGUUAUUUAUUUAAACCUUUGGAGUUUAUAGGAACUCUAUAUAAUUUCUGCAUUUAAGCCUGUUUCUGUAUCUUUAAAUGCCUAUCUUUUUGUUAAUUUGUGUGGUUGGGUUGUAGUUGUGGUUCUCCCACCGGAGGGUUAGUGUGGGUGCCAAUCACGACGGUCUGGGUCGUGACAGAGAUUAAGUGUUGGUGCCACUCAUGACUCAUUUUGGGUCGUGACAAACUGACUAAUCCAAAAUACAAAAUGAGAGUCAGUACAAAAAGAAGGACAACAACAAGUCUCUGAAUGUCAAGAGCUCACCUUAAAUAUGAGUCUAUGACCGCCACGGGAGAUCCAACGCUCACUGAGGGUGGCUCGAACUGGGAGCUGCAUCAGAAAAAAGAUGCAAAAAUGCAGUAUGAGUACCAAAACACGGUAUAUUCAAUUGCCAUCAUAGACCGACCGAGCUCAGAAAGAUCAAAUAUGUAUAUAAGAAGCUUGAUGAUACUAGCAAGUGAAGGGAGCUAAGACACACUAACCUUAUGAUAGAGAACAAGCAGAAAAUAUCAAGUUUCAAUCACAAGUUACACACAAACCACAAGACAAUCAACAUAGUCAAAGGCCAACUCACACGAUGAUACAAUGUAAAACUUCAAGUAGGAAGAGCCAUAAGACCGCAAGAAACAUUGAGCCGCCUAGAAUGAUACCUCAAGCUUAACUGAAUGUCAAUAAUACGGAUAGAUGUAUUCACGGGCCGCCGACAAUGACUCGUCGAGCUUACCCAUAAUUAGGAUAUAUGUAUCAACGGACCGUCCGAGAUGAUACUUCGAGAUUAUAAACAAUGUAAAUCUAAAUAAUAGAUUGUAGCCUGAGCCUAAGCCAAUAGGCCGCUUGGAAUGGUAUAUCGAGAUCAUUGGAGUAAAAGCAUUUGAAAGGUGCGUAAAUCAAGAAAAAUCGGGUUUUUUCACUGAUUUUAGGGUAAACUGGGUCUCAAGAACUUCCAACUCAUUAAGAACAAAUUCAAUUCACAAACCAAGUCAUUUCCGUUGAAAAUUGUUCAGGUAAUAAAUCCUCAAAAAUACUAUCACAAUCAAACAUGCCAUACACACAGAUCCGGGUAGGAUACCCGUCACACCACGAGAGUACUAACCUGGAACUCCUACCAAUCCAAGCUUACGGCCUCAAGCCCAACAAUUUAAUAGACUAUCAAAUAUCACAACUCAAGGAUCCACACCACCUUAUAUCUAUAUUAUUUUUCUUUAUUUCUAAAAUUGGGUAACACCUUUCUAAAUGGUUAUAAGAACACUUUUAGCAUAUUAACUAAUAUUUUUUUCUUUAAUCUUUGAAAAUUUUCAAACAUGUCACAUUGAAAUUUUCUAACAAAAAAAUUAUCACCAUUAUUUUUUAAAAAUAAUUAAAUCAAAUGUUUAUAUUAAAACAAGUAGUAGUGGAUGAUAUAAUAUACCAUCAACGAGUUUAAUCGGUCUCAAUACCUUCGAUGUGAAAUAUAGCUCUAUGUAUAUAUAUAACUCCAAACAUUGCAGCAAAAUGCAAGUACCAUUUAUAUUUCCUUCCGAAUUUUCAAUUUUCUACCUCUUAGUUACAAUUAUUGGGAAACCCCAAGUUAAUUUUUUUUGUUGGUUUAAGAUAUUUGGAUCCUUACAAUUUCAGCGCAUUCUUAAUCCAAUUACACUUGUUAACAUUAUUGUGUACAUUUAUUUUUGGUCGGAAAAAGAUGGAAAAUAUUGCAGGAUGAAAAACGGACAAUGAAUUGUUGGGGAGAGUUGCUACAACCGUCUAAGUAAACAUCUCCCGUCCCAAAUUAUUUGUCAUAUUUUAUUUUUUAAAGUCAAUUUGAUUAAUUUUUGGAGUUAAAUAACUUUAAAUUAAAAUUUAUAUUCAAAACUAUAUAAAAGUACUAGAAUCUUAAUUUUUCUCAUCUCAAUAUGAUUUAAUUUUUUUUUUAAUCUUAGAAUACUAGUUAAAGCUCAUGUAGUUUAAUAUUAAAAAACGAAACUUGACAAAGUGUUGACAAAUAUUUUGAGAUGGAGAAAAUAUUUAACUUGAAUUUUCUUGGAAUUUGGGGGUGGAUGUUUACCAAUUUUCUAAGUCUUGACUUGAACAAUGAAUUUAAUUAAACAAAAAAGGCAUAAAAAAUAGAAUUGGUUGUAUAAAAAAAGGAAAUAAAAAACUGAUCCAGCAAAUUUUUCGGGUACAUACUUACUGCAAAUAAGGAAAAUAAAAUAGAAAACUAAAUUGGUGUCAAUCUGUAUACCAAAAGGUUUCUAAUUCGAGUCUCCUUGGAUAUGGAGGGACACAAAUUCAGAUUUAGUCAGGCUUCAAUGUGGGUACCGAAACCAAAACAAAUAUUUAGUUAAAAAGUAGAUGUAAUCCAUUAAAUAACAAUAGAAAUAUUUGAUAAUUUAAUUCUAGAAAUUAAAGUAACUAAAAUAAAUGUACUACUAAUUACCACUAGAAAAAUUUCUUAUUCUCCAAUAUAUGCGUGUGGAUAUUCAGGCGUAUCAAAGUAAUCCGAUUCUUCAUCAGUCAAGGCUUUUGUAACAUCUCGUUAUUUGAAAGGACUAGAAAGAGUUAGAAUUGGAAAGAGCCAGUUUAGGAAAGAAUGAAAAAUCUGGAAAUUUGUUAAGUUAAGGUACGUUGAGUUUUUGGGUCAAAUUCAAACGACCAUAACUCCUAUCUUAGGAUGAGUUAGGUGUGCUUCCAGAUAACGUAGGAAAUAUCUUGGAAUUAUCUUUCCAACGCCACUGAGUUUGCGUUAUUCCAAGUUCGUAUGAGUGAGAUAUGCCCAUUUGAAGUUGGGUUGUUGAAAUAAGGAAAGUCUAAUCCGGAUUUUGGAAGGGUAGUUUGGUCUUUUCCAUACCCAAUUAUUUUAUUUCAUUUUUAGGAGCUUAAGUGGGGUCAAAUCUGAAUUAAAUCAGUUUUACGCAUUUACCAAAACAUGCUAGGGCUUGGAGAAAAGAGAAGAAAGGUUCAAGAUUCGUCCAUAUCGUGCAAUUUUAGUUGUGGAUUUCACCAAGGAUUCAAUCCCACGAGGUAUGUGAGACUUUCAUAGCGUUGGGUUCGUUCACCCAUGUGCCAAUCAUAUUUGUUUCAGCAAAAUUCGUUUCUAGAAAGUUGAUAGUAUGAUGUUCUUGAAUUAUGUUCUUGAAGUUUGCUUUAGUUCUUGAGAUUUGAUGGGAUUGUGGAGUUCUUGAUGGAAUCGUGUCGAUUUAAGAGUUUUUUUGAGUUAGAUUCUUGUGUAUAUAUAUGGGGUAUUUGAAUAUAUAGAGGGAUUGAGAAAAAGAAUUGGAUUUAGGUGAAUUGGGGUGAGAAAACGAAGAAGGAAAGAGUCGAGCAAGUUUUGGCACGCAAGUCUGCGUCGCAGACUUGCUCCCCCAGUGCAAAAAAAUCUCCGCGUCACGGAAAAGAUGCGGACUCCUCUGUUUCAAAAAUAAAUUUCGCGAUCAAAUAUUUAAAUGCAUCUCCGCAUUGCGGACUUGUUUUCAGACAAUGAUUUCUUGAUCGUUUCUCAUGUUUAACUAUCUAAAAACACUCCUAAACAUCAUGAGAUCUUUCCUAUCNNNNNNNNNNNNNNNNNNNNNNNNNNNNNNNNNNNNNNNNNNNNNNNNNNNNNNNNNNNNNNNNNNNNNNNNNNNNNNNNNNNNNNNNNNNNNNNNNNNNNNNNNNNNNNNNNNNNNNNNNNNNNNNNNNNNNNNNNNNNNNNNNNNNNNNNNNNNNNNNNNNNNNNNNNNNNNNNNNNNNNNNNNNNNNNNNNNNNNNNNNNNNNNNNNNNNNNNNNNNNNNNNNNNNNNNNNNNNNNNNNNNNNNNNNNNNNNNNNNNNNNNNNNNNNNNNNNNNNNNNNNNNNNNNNNNNNNNNNNNNNNNNNNNNNNNNNNNNNNNNNNNNNNNNNNNNNNNNNNNNUUGUUUUAAAAACAUAUGAGCUAAGUAUAUUUUGGGAGUAGUAUUGAGCACCGAUAUGGGGCUGCAAGUUCAUAAUAACUCAAGUCUCCAUAAACCAUGUAGCCAUCAUGGUUAGUAAAGGAUCAUACUUUUUAGACGACUCCUUAAGUUGCUUUUUAGCAUAGACUAGUAGAUCCACUUAGCUAAGCGUUCUAUAUGACGGCAAAGUAUAAGACAUUUCUGGCAGCAUGGGCAAGACGUUGUAUCAUCCCUUAGGCUCAUAGUGGUGGUUGUUGAUUAGAGAAACUCCCACAGUAUUAUAUUACUUUAUACGUAACUUGAGUUGUUAUUGUAUUUCUUUAAUACAUUGAGUUGUCAUCUACUAUUUUAAAUGUUUUAUAUAAACUGCACCUUUAUUGUUGUUUUUACUUCGCAUUUGAGUUGAGUAUUCAUAAGUUGAGUAAAGCUAAGGUAAGUGUUCCUUUCAGAUUCCUUUCAAGCUUAUGUUAUGUUUAGUUUUCCCUUCGCAUUCUCGUACAUUCAAUGUACUGAUGACAUUUGGCCUGCAUCAUUUUAUGAUGCAGACACAAGUAACCAGGAUUAGCAUCCAGCGCCUCAUUGAUCCAGUUGAGCACUCAGAGUCAGUUGGUGAGCCUCAUUGCUUUCCGGAGGGUCCCUCAUUAUCUUGUUUUUAGCAUUUCAGUUGUUAGGAUGAUCGGGGUCUUGUCCCGACAUCCCUCAUUGUUUUAGAGGCUUCAUAGAUGAGUAGUUAUAAUUCUUUAGUCUUUCCGUUUUUAGUUGUAUAUGUUAAGACUUGAGUUGCUAUUUUGGCUAGUUUAAUAUUUCUUAAAGAUAUUGCAUGAGUUGUCCUUUGAGACUAUUUCCUAUUAUUUAAGUCUUUCGCUAUAAGUUAAGCCAGGUCAAGGGUUCUGUAAUGACCCUCCAGGUCAUUUCAGUGUCUUGCCUUCUGUGUGUCGUUUAGAGUGUUCCUGUAGCGAUCCCAAGUCAUUUAUGACUUGCUGGGACUGACAGUUCGGUCACCUGGUUGUUCGUUUGGUUUUGGUGCGAGAUUUUGUGUUUUGGAGCUUAUGAACCUUGAACGAUCAUUUUCGAUCAAAAGUUCAAGAAGAUGACAUCGGAAUCCAAUUUUGACAAUUUCAACAGCUCCGGAAGGGUCAUUUAAGGCUAGUAGUAUGGUCGACAUGACUCCCGGGGUUUUAAGUGUGAGUCGGGGCGAUUAGGCGUUUUAACUUUAAGUUUAAGCCUAAGUUUGACUUUGGUCAACAUUCUGAGUAAACGCGCUCGGAUGAGAAUUCUGUCAGCGCGGUAAGCUCUAGAAUGUCGAGUUUGGUCUGGAACGACCUUUCGUUCGACUCCCGAGGCCUUCGGACUCAUUUCGAGCCCCUUAGUGGAUUUUGGUUAAAAAUGGCAUUUGGAAGUGGGACCCACUUUUUAUCGAGAUGACCUCGGAUGGAAAUUUUGACUGUGCCGUUGAGUUUGGAAUAUCAAAUUUAGUAGGGUAGCAUAUCUGUUUUAUUUUUAUCGGGUACCGAACGAAUUCCGAGCACCCCGUCGGAGACUUUGAAGAUUUAGCCAAAGCUGAGAUCUGGUGCAGCUCUUUAGCGACCAGAGUUUGGGCCUUUAACGACCAGAUGUUGGGUUUAGCGACCAGUUUCGCCCUUUUUAAAACCCCAACUUAGCUUUAUUCNNNNNNNNNNNNNNNNNNNNNNNNNNNNNNNNNNNNNNNNNNNNNNNNNNNNNNNNNNNNNNNNNNNNNNNNNNNNNNNNNNNNNNAAAGUUGUGAGAUUUUUUGAGGACAACUGGUUGGUGAGCUCGGAAUCUGAUUUGGGGUCCCCGUUCGAGGUAAAUUUCACAAAAUACCUGCUGUCACGACCUCCUUUUUGUGAGCUUGAUGUUGGGAUAUUUGAGACUUGUUUUCUCAUUCAUUUUAGGUCCGAUUUCAGCGAUUCUUGAGUCCAUUUUGAGUGGUUUUUUGAGGAGAACAUUGUGGUGUUGUCAGAAUUUACUGUAGACCGCUCGUUUCUAGUAAAUAUGUUGAAUUAGCUGAUGUCCCAUUUCUUUAGUUCUUGAGGAAAAUUUGGGUUUUGGUUGUAUGUUGGUAUUGUGUUGUUUCUAAGUCCCGAAUUGUGUCCCAUAAUGGAACACAAGUUUGGGGAGCUGUUAAGAACCUACUUUUGGGGUAAUUCCAAAAUUUUCAGCGCGGGUCCCACAAUUCCCGUUUUGACCCCUAAAUUAACUCGUCUCCGUUUGUUGUGAUUUUGGUGUCUAAACGACCGUACUAACGUUGUGACCCUAUAUUUGAUAGAGUGACAGCGUUCAAAGGUUGUUCGGGAAGGAAAAGCUCCAGUAAAGUGAUUUGGAGAGCGCGCGAUCGGCCUUAAGGUAGGCUACGGCUUCCUUUCUUUUAGAUUUAGCUUAAUUGUGUAAAAACAUGUCAAUUGGAGUGAAUUGGGGGUGGGUACCAGUUUACUACCUUACUUUGAUUAGACACCUUAUGUUAGGAUCGAUUGGCCACAUUUCGGGUAUAGUAUCAUGUUAACCAGUUUAGUAGAGUUGCAUGCUUAUGUGCUAAAUGCUAUUGUAUGCUUGUAUGCUAUGCAUUGCAUGCCUUAUUCAUCCUUAACUGUAAGCAUGAUGUCCUUAGUCUAGGUUAGACUAGCAUUGCCUUAGAUUUAUGACCCGUGUGGGCUGGAUAGCCUUGACUUGCUGUCGAUGUCGUUCGGAUGACUUAGCUCCUUGUAGACUAGAAUAGCAAACUUGAGUCUGAUAGUUUGAGCCUUAGAUUAGGCGUUAUCGCUACUUGCUGCACUUCUGUAUCUUCUCCCUCUCAUUCUGCGGUUCCGACGCAUUCUCGAAGGUUUGGUGCAUCACUCGAGGCGUGAGAUUUAGAUAGUAUAGACUUGGAGCCUUUUCCGUGAUGUCUUAGAGUGGACGACGUUCCACGGUGGUUGUUGUUGGAUUAAAUCCUAUUGGAGAUACCAUCACCCCCGGGGUCGUUCUUUCUAGCUGGGCUGGGAACGUAUCGCUGGCUAGGUAGACUCGGUGAUAUCGGUGAACGCCCCCGGGCCUCUCUUUCUGGCUGGGCUGGGAGUGUGCUGCUGGCUGGGUGUCCCCGGGUCGCUCUUUCUAUCUGGGCAGGGAGCUGGCUGCAUGGUAGGACGACUCGCGAUAUCUAUCUCACUCACGGGUCCCUCUUUCUAGCUAGGCUAGAAGUGGACUGUUUGGUUGGGUGCCCCCUAGGGUCACUCUUUCUAGCUGGGNNNNNNNNNNNNNNNNNNNNNNNNNNNNNNNNNNNNNNNNNNNNNNNNNNNNNNNNNNNNNNNNNNNNNNNNNNNNNNNNNNNNNNNNNNNNNNNNNNNNNNNNNNNNNNNNNNNNNNNNNNNNNNNNNNNNNNNNNNNNNNNNNNNNNNNNNNNNNNNNNNNNNNNNNNNNNNNNNNNNNNNNNNNNNNNNNNNNNNNNNNNNNNNNNNNNNNNNNNNNNNNNNNNNNNNNNNNNNNNNNNNNNNNNNNNNNNCGGUGAUUAGUUCCAGCCUUCUUUUGCAGCUGUGUUUCGGAGACGAGGGCGAGCACUUGGCGUUUUGGGUUUGUUCUGUCUCCUUCUUUUGUUUUAGCUAGUCUUGUUGCCUUUGAGACACGCUCUGUUGUGGUCCACUUUUGGGACUUGUACUCUUUAUUAGAUAGCUCUGUACUAGUGACUUCUAGGUUCUGGGAGGGAUUUCUGUAUAUAUUUAUUUUGGGUUGCUUCCACCUUGUUAUUCUUGUUUAGAUUAUUGUUUUCGCUAGUUCUUCCCUUUCGCUCAUUGCUUGAUGUUCUGGGUUACGGGUUGCCUUACCUACUGGUAGGGUAUAGUAGGUGCCAUCAUGACUCGAGAAAUCGGGUCGUGACAGGUUCUCUUGGGGACAACAAUUUUUCUCGAGUGCCAGUCACGCCCAGGGUGUAGGCUCAGGGUGUGACAACUUUAAACGGUUCAUCCAAUAAUGGUAGCUGCCAAUUUUCUGCAGAAUAUAACCGUCCAUCAUGAUCUCUCAGUGAAUUUCAGACACAAUCAGGAACUAUAUUCUCGAUUGUUAUAGGAAUAUCUUGAUGAUUUUUGCAUAAACUGACUUUUUUAUAAUGAAACACACAACAAAGUCUUCAUGUCUGAUUUCUCUGCGUUUUCUUAAUACAUCCCUUGUAGUUUUAUCAAGACAUUAUUCUUUCACAAUCGAGUACACACUUUCUUUAUCUUCACUGCUACUUUCUUCAUCAAAACGAAAAGUUUUUUUAUACCCAAUUCGUGAUCUUUCCUUGUCCAAAAUUUCUUUACUAUUGUCUCGUCCUUUCCAUUUGGGACCUCCAACAAUUGAUUUGUUGAAGUUUUUACCCUUGAUCGUUUUUCUCUUCAAUUGAGUAAAGAAAUAGUUUACAUGAUCAUUACCUAAAUUUUGGAAUAAGUCAGCUGGCUCUUUGUUACCGUAUAAGUUUAUAUACGGAAUGUCAUGGUAUUCUAUAGGCAUUCCACGAAUGAAUUUCGUUAAACACCUUAUCAGAUCUUCAUCCAUAUAUUUCAUCCUCAUAAGUUGAAAAUUAUGUGAAUUCCAACUUAAAAGAUACAAAACAAAGAAGAUGGAGAAAUAUUUUAAAGCAAAGAAAAUACAUAUAGAGUGUAUUUCCUAAUUUGUGUAGGAAAUUAAUUGUAGUUGUAAAAAUAAAUUUGAAAAUGUUAACCUUAUUGGAAUGGAAAACUAAUUGGAGUUGUAAUUUAUUUUUGGAAAACUUAACCUUAUUCAAAUAGAAAACUAAUUGGAGUUAUAUUUUUCUGCCCCUUGAUUUGAGUUUAUGCCUCAAAAACAGCACGCGUUUGCCAAUAAUAUUUAUUUGCUAGAUUUGACGAGAAUUAUGAAAAGAAGAAAAUUAGUAGAAACUUAUAUGUAGAGGUCAAAUAGUAUUUGUAAAUUUUGCUAUUUUUAGUACUCCAUAUGAUAGUAGUAACUAUUGGCGUGUAAUUUCUAUUAUUUUAAUUUAAUAUUUAUUUACCUUUAAAUUUAUAACUUAGGAUAACAAAUAAAAUUGUGUUUAACGUUCAAGAUUAUACGGAUUAUUAAAACGAGACAAUAUUUUACUGAUGCUUUAUGACUUGUGAUAAAAAUAAUCGAAAUAAUUAAUUAAAAUAACAGUGAGUUGUAAAGCAAAAUAAGCAAAAGUAAAUAUUAUUGAGUUAUCUCAAGCGAAAUCAUUAUGAAGAAAGUAAAAGUGCAUACAAUAUUUGUGAUUAAAAUCAGAUAUCUUGUCAGUGAGGAAAAGAGGAGGAGGGAACCUAAAUAAGCCACAAAAAUAUAAAAGUGACCAAAAUAAGCCACUACUUUAGGAAGUAACUAAAAUAGGCUUAAUGGAAGAAAAAAUUUCACUUUAUCUAAUAUUCUAAACGUUUUCUGUUAGUCUCAUAACGUGUAUAUUUUAAUAUAUAACGGAAUUAUUUCCUACACUUUAUAAAAUGGAACUAUUUCUUACACUUUAUAAAGUGUAAGUUUUUCUUACACUUUGUAAAGUGGAACUUUUUCUUACACUUUAUAAAGUGGAANNNNNNNNNNNNNNNNNNNNNNNNNNNNNNNNNNNNNNNNNNNNNNNNNNNNNNNNNNNNNNNNNNNNNNNNNNNNNNNNNNNNNNNNNNNNNNNNNNNNNNNNNNNNNNNNNNNNNNNNNNNNNNNNNNNNNNNNNNNNNNNNNNNNNNNNNNNNNNNNNNNNNNNNNNNNNNNNNNNNNNNNNNNNNNNNNNNNNNNNNNNNNNNNNNUUAUUCUGAAAAAUCCUCCAAUCUCUAUUUAAGGAGGACGUUCAAACAUAGUUAAUAGCACCUACAACAUAAAGUCUUCUAUAUUUGUUCAUUUCAAUCACAAAAAAAAUGUCUUCUAAACCAAAAGUUAGAGUUUCGAUUUAUUGGGAUGGCGAAAUUAUACAUGACGGAAAUAUCGUUUAUUAUAAUUAUCCUCCCAAACACAAUUCUAAAUAUUCAAUUAAUGUCCGAUAUCAUAAAUUUCUUUCAUCAAUUUAUAAAAGAAUGAGUAUAAAUAGGACUGUUUAUAAUUUGAAUAUAGUCGAAAAAUACCCUACUUCAUUUUUAUCACAAGGACAAGUAAAUUUUGGAGAGUGGAUUAUCUAUAAUGACGAAUCGUGACCGACUUUUUGAGGGUUCCAGAUGACUACAUAGAUCAAAUCAAGUUAACAAUACUUGAAAUCUAUGUUAGGAAGGAGCCUAAGACUAGUCAACAACGUUCUCCUUUAUCGAUCGAUGUUCAUCCUCGAUUAGAAAAUCAUAAUAGCGUUGAUGGAUUUCCGAUAACUCAAUCUACUGAUUUUNNNNNNNNNNNNNNNNNNNNNNNNNNNNNNNNNNNNNNNNNNNNNNNNNNNNNNNNNNNNNNNNNNNNNNNNNNNNNNNNNNNNNNNNNNNNNNNNNNNNNNNNNNNNNNNNNNNNNNNNNNNNNNNNNNNNNNNNNNNNNNNNNNNNNNNNNNNNNNNNNNNNNNNNNNNNNNNNNNNNNNNNNNNNNNNNNNNNNNNNNNNNNNNNNNNNNNNNNNNNNNNNNNNNNNNNNNNNNNNNNNNNNNNNNNNNNNNNNNNNNNNNNNNNNNNNNNNNNNNNNNNNNNNNNNNNNNNNNNNNNNNNNNNNNNNNNNNNNNNNNNNNNNNNNNNNNNNNNNNNNNNNNNNNNNNNNNNNNNNNNNNNNNNNNNNNNNNNNNNNNNNNNNNNNNNNNNNNNNNNNNNNNNNNNNNNNNNNNNNNNNNNNNNNNNNNNNNNNNNNNNNNNNNNNNNNNNNNNNNNNNNNNNNNNNNNNNNNNNNNNNNNNNNNNNNNNNNNNNNNNNNNNNNNNNNNNNNNNNNNNNNNNNNNNNNNNNNNNNNNNNNNNNNNNNNNNNNNNNNNNNNNNNNNNNNNNNNNNNNNNNNNNNNNNNNNNNNNNNNNNNNNNNNNNNNNNNNNNNNNNNNNNNNNNNNNNNNNNNNNNNNNNNNNNNNNNNNNNNNNNNNNNNNNNNNNNNNNNNNNNNNNNNNNNNNCUAUCUUGGUCGCAAGCGUGCUUUUGAAAAAGUCUAUGGUACUUGGGAGGGUUCUUUUGCCGAGUUGCCGAGGUUCAUGGAAGCUUUGAAACACUUCAAUCCCGGAACAAUAGUUGAAUGGAAAACAGAGCGGCGUGUCGAUGUCAUUGAAGAUGUAUUCAACUAUGUGUUCUGGACUUUUAAAUCAUGCAUUGAUGGGUUUGUGUUUUGUCGUCCUGUUAUAUCGAUCGACGGAACACAUGUCUAUGGAAAAUAUGAUAUCAAGUUGUUGAUUGCGAUUGCAACGACUCAAUAUUACCUUUGUCAUUUGCAAUAGUUGCGAAUGAGAGCAUGGAGACAUGAAGUUUAUUUUUGGAUAAUUUACACUUGCACGUUGUCAAGGGUCGUAGAGAUGUAGCAUUGAUUUCAGAUAGGCAUUACGAAAUACUCUCAUCCGUGUAUAAUUCUCCCAAUUGGCAGGCCCCAUUUGGGAUCCAUCGCUUUUGCUUAAGACAUUUAAAGGCCAAUUUUCAAAAAAAAUCAAAAAUGUUACUUUGAACAACCUUUUGUGGGCAGCUGCAAAUCAUUGUCAGGAGAAAAAGUUUUUGAAAAAAAUGGAAAUGAUCAAAGAGAUUAACCCGGAAGCGUAUGUGUGAUUAAUGAAGAACGAUCUUGUCAAAUGGACAUUGCACAGGGAUGGAGGUAGGAGAUGGGGAAUGCUGACAACAAAUAGUUCUAAGUCAUUCAAUGGUCUUCUUAAGUCAGCCAGGGGCCUGUCAGUUACUGCAAUGGUAAGACUCACUUACAAUCAGAUUGUGAACCGAUUUGUUACAAGAUCAAAAUUUGUCAAUCAGCUAGUACAACAAAAGCAACAAUGGAUGCCUAAACCAUUCAAGAUUUUUGAGGAUAAUCGAAAAAAGUCACAGCGUCACACACUUAUCAACUAUCACCAACAAAGGGAAAACAUAUUUGAGGUGCAGACACAUAUGCAUCAUGGCUGUGGUGGUAAUAAGCACAUUGUAAAUGCAUCACAAGGAAAAUGUCAAUGUGGUAAAUGGCAAUCAUACCACAUUCCGUGUUCUCAUGCAAUAAAGGGAUUUGACCAAAUUGGGUAUCAAGCAUGGGAGCAUAUGGCACCAGAAUUCUGCGUGCAUAGCUACAAAAAAGCCUACUCUGACAAUUCAAUCCACUCGGCGGUGAAAAGUAUUGGCCUAAUAGCCCUUUUCUUAUGAUAGCAAAUAAAAAUAUUUACAAAAAGUGGGCGUAAAUAAAAUCACCCGUAUACAUAAUGAAAUGGAUGUUCCCGCAAGUACACUCACUCGCAAGUGCUCAACGUGCAAACAAAUAGGCCAUGAUAGGUGCAACUGUCCUUCACGAGCUCGAAACGCCUCAUAUGGUGGUAGUAGCUAAACAAAGAUGUUUAACUUUGUUAAUUUAUUCUUGUAUCAAUUUCUAUGCAACUUUUUAUUCGUAUUUUGUAUCAUUCUCUAGUCAUGUUUAUAUUUUCAAUUUAUUUCAUUCACCUUUUUAAAAAAAAUUACAUACACAAAAUAAUAACUAUAUAUAAUUAAAAUAAUAAUACUAUUCACCCUCAAAAAAAAUACAUACACAAAAAUAAUAACNNNNNNNNNNNNNNNNNNNNNNNNNNNNNNNNNNNNNNNNNNNNNNNNNNNNNNNNNNNNNNNNNNNNNNNNNNNNNNNNNNNNNNNNNNNNNNNNNNNNNNNNNNNNNNNNNNNNNNNNNNNNNNNNNNNNNNNNNNNNNNNNNNNNNNNNNNNNNNNNNNNNNNNNNNNNNNNNNNNNNNNNNNNNNNNNNNNNNNNNNNNNNNNNNNNNNNNNNNNNNNNNNNNNNNNNNNNNNNNNNNNNNNNNNNAACGACAGUGGUGGCAAAGUGGUCUGCAAAUAGAAAGUUAGAUAGUAGAAAUUGAAAAUUAAUUGACAAAAUAAGAAAUCCAUCUUUAAAGGGAUCCAACAAUACAACAAUAAAUCCAAGCACACCAACUCUAUAUAUUCGUAUGCUUCAUUCUCUAUACAGUCUUGACCUACGUAAGAUCUCCUCAACACGUCCAUGAGGUCGAUGCAAACGAAAUAAAUUCCAAGCAUCAUUCAUGUGCACCGUCCUCAUAAGGCUACUAAAUGAUAUCUCACCUUUCCAUAACAAUUCUGAUUUAUGCUCAUGCUGAGAGAGAAGAAGUGUACGAUCAAUUGGUCCAGGAUUCACAACAUGCUCCAUUAUAUUCUAUAAGAAAAAUUCUAUUAAUUCAUUUAAUAUAAUUAUAUCUUGAAAAAUUAAACCGUGAACUAUCUUCAAACGAAUAAUUGUAUGAGAACUAAAGAAUCUCUAACUUCAGCAAGUCAAUUAAAUAUGUUAUUUGUCGAGUCAACCACAAGAAAAAAAAUAGAAAAAAAAAAGAUACUGUGAGCACUUUUUUUUUUAUAGAGAAUAACUUUUCACAUCCUUGUCAAGAAAUAAGCUAGAAUAGUAGUUGUGAAAGCUAUAGUGUAUUAACUACAUGCUGCUGCUGCUUUUGGCUUGAAAUGAGUAAUGUUCUAACAGCAAUUUUGGUGGCUUAUGGCUUAAAGUUAUUUUGCUUUGAAAUUUGACAAUUUAUAAGUUUCAUUAUGUUCAUUACAUGUGCUUUCAAUUUGAGACUUGAUAGUGAUGGUAAAGAUGACCUCCAAGAAUAUCAUUAACGAUGGAAUAGAUGUGGGAUUUUUUACAAAGUCAACUAACACUGAUAUAAUUUUUACUCAUAUCUCAUAGACUCAAACUAUUAUUGUGCUAUUAUUUGGGGGGGAAUUCAAACAAAUUGUACUUUAUUUUAUAUGAGAUGACUUUCACCAUUAUCUUGUAUUUGAAGUGAUGUCUAGGAUGACUCAUGAACUAGUGAAUGCAUAUUGCAAUUCAUCGAACCAACGUAGGUAUGAUAAAUUGAUCAAUUCAUUUUAGUGAUUUCUUAUUUUCAACCUUAGUUUUGUCUCUGUUUUUUUGCCAUUACUUUGUGAUUGGAACUUCUUAUUGCACUAUCUCUUUAGGUUUCCCUUUCAUUCAGUAAUGUGUGAAGGGACCAAGAUGAUAUCUUCAAUCUAUUAUUGGGUUAGGUCCAUUAGUCCUUUAAGUUGUUCUACUCUUUUUUUUUGUUUUCCACUUCCUCUUAUUCAAUUGCAUAUUAGAUUUGUCUGUUAUGGCUCUUUCGAAAGUUGAUUACAUAGACAAUUUUUAUUUCCAUCUCAUAUUUUUUUAUGUUUCUUUUUUGGAUGUGAUUUUGAUUUUGAAGCUUCCUCCACUUUUGACGUUUCCUACAACUAAUGUGGCAUUUGGAGGUAUGGUCUUAACUAAGUCUUUAUGAUGAAUGCACAACUGACCAAGUUUUUACUUUAUAUUUUUGUAUUGGUGUGAAUGCUCUUGUAUAAAAUACUUAUAUUCCAUCUUCCCUCUUUUUUCAUUCCACAACUCUUGAUAUCUAAAGUUUCUAUUAUAAUUCAAUUUUAAUUAUACUAUAAAAUCACAUUCUAACUCCAUGAGGUAGGUGUAAUAUCUACGUAUAUUCUACCCUCCCUAGACCUCAGCUGUCAUUCUAUUACUCUUGUUGUUUUUUUAUAAAAUCACAUUCUAAGAAAUUCAUUCAUCAGUUGAAUAUAUAAAACAUAUCCCUGUGUUCUCAUUAGCUGAAUAUCUAAAACUUAUCCUUGUAUAAUGUGUUAAAUUUUUCCUAAUUCAAGGUUUUUGUCGAAUCUUAAUUCUCAUAUGUCUUUCUAUGCAAGACUGCUCUGAACCUACUGUUGCCAAAUUAGGACAAGAUCUUAAACCUGUUAUGGUUUAUGGGUGAGUAUUCCCUUGCUUAAGUCAUUGUGUAUUUGCUUUAAGUAUUCUCAAUUGUAUACCAAUCUCGAACUUAUUAGUUCUGUUUAAUCACCUUAUUUUUAGGUAUUUACCAUUAUAGUUUAUGCUUAGCAUAAGAAAAUCUUAUUGCAUGAUUGCAUAAUGAUCCAAAAGUUGGCAAUAUUGGUUUGUAAUUAUUUAACUAUAUUCUCCACUUAGCAAAAUUACUCUUUUUAUUGUCUAUAAGCUUUUUUCUCUCCCCGUCCCCUAUUUCUUUUUCCGUAACUUGAUCUAUUUUGGUCUAGUUAACAUAUAUUUGUACCUGAAGUACAUCAGCAAAAGUUCCUAUAACAGAUUUUUAUUUUAGGGGAUUAGAAACGUAAAUGUCUAAUACUUUUGGUAGUAUAAUUUGUAGCAAAUGAGUAAUGAAGCUAAGUUCCAACUUAUUUCUAAUCUAUUAUACUUUUGAAAUUUUGAACAAACAUCAUUUUAAAGUAAUGAAAAUAUGAGAUGAAAAAAAAUACCUAAUUUAUAUAAUUUGUAGGGUCGGAUUGUUAUGUUGUCGGGUUGUGCUACUCCAAUCUUUCAAGAUUUUGAUUUUGUAGUGUAGGGCCGCUUCAGUUGUCGGAUUGGGACCAUCAACUGUUAAUCUUCAUUCUGAAAAAAGUUUGGAAGCCAUGAAAGUGAAAGGGGAGAAGAAGAAAGUGAAAAGGUAAAUUCUGAAAAAAGUUUGGANNNNNNNNNNNNNNNNNNNNNNNNNNNNNNNNNNNNNNNNNNNNNNNNNNNNNNNNNNNNNNNNNNNNNNNNNNNNNNNNNNNNNNNNNNNNNNNNNNNNNNNNNNNNNNNNNUUCUUCCACUUUAUAAAGUGUAAGAAAAAGUUCCACUUUACAAAGUGUAAGAAAAAAUUACACUUUAUAAAGUGUAAGAAGUAGUUUCAUUUUAUAAAGUGUAGGAAAUAGUUCCGUUAUAUAUUAAAAUAUACACGUUAUGAAACUAACGGAAAACAUUUAGAAUAUUAGAUAAAGUGGAAUUUUUUCUUCCACUAAGCCUAUUUUAGUUACUUCCUAAAGUAGUGGCUUAUUUUGGUCACUUUUAUGUUUUUGUGGCUUAUUUAGGUUCCCAGCUCGGAAAAGAGGUACAUUAAUAACCUAAUCUUAUAUACCAUUUGGCAUGAAUUGAAUUCCUCAUAAUGAUCAUGAUCAACACAUUGAAGUUGUUAUAUACCAUUUGGCGGACCCACGAAAGGUUUCAGAUACUCGAACACCCAUUAAUCUCGUAUCGAACUAAUUAUAUUUUUUUUAUAGAAAUUUGAACGAAUGGUAUAAAAGUAAAUAGUGAGCACCUAGGCAACAAGCAGUUGCUUGGUGUAGUGGUCGCUUGUGGGUACUUAAAAUUGUAUAUCGUAUCUGUUGUGGCCAGAUUUGAUUCCACUAUGGUACUUUUACUUAAAAUUGUAUAUUGUAUCUGUUGUGUCUAAGUUUGAUUCCACUAUGAUAUUUUUAAAAAUUUUAAAUACCAACUCUUCUUGGUACAGCCACUUAAAAUCCUGAAUUCGCCACUGCAAAACCUUUUAUUCUAAAAAAUAAAAGCUUAUUAAAACAUAACAGUUAACUCUUAUACAAAUUUUAAUUCAUGUGCAGGCCUUUGAAGCUAAAAUUGAGAAACAAGGAUAUAAAAGCUUUCCCAGUGGACAUAUAUACUUCAUGUUAGUAGUUUUCAUUUGUUCUUCAAUUUUGUUGUUUUUCUACUUGUUUAUAAGUUUACAACUUGUCAAAAUAUAGGGCAUUUGCUGGAAAAGUGAAGGCUUUUGACACAAGAGGCCAUGCUACAAAACUAUGUAUUAUUUUGUUCUGCUUCCUUUACUAUUUGCUUCAUUAGUUGGAAUUUCUCAAAUUGAUAUAGGCUUAAGUCUCCAACGAGAGUACACGAGGGAACCCUCAUUAUCCAAGCAUGAACAAUAAUGCAAGAUGUUGAAGUUGUUGGAGAUGGAAGGAGAUAUUGAAUUCGAAUCUCCAUAGCCUCGUCGAAUGAGAAAACGUAACAUCUAUACCUUUGUAUGUUGAACUUAACACGAUGGAAAGCUUAGUAAUCAACACAGAAAUAACAGGGAAGGAAAGGAAGAAACAAAAACUGAAAAUAGUUUGCAGGGAAAAGUUGCAUACUUUAUUCAAUAUGUUGAGAAGUUAAUAUAGGCUUAUAGAAUUUUAGGAAUCCUAACCCCACUAAAUAACUACUUAAUUUUAGUAAACCAAUUUCCCUAAACUCUAGGAAAAGAAAUUUGCAAUACUACAAACUAGGAAAAGCAUUACGUGCUAACAAAAUAACAAAGUAACAACUAACUAGAAUAUAGCUACUGCCAAGACUUAGUCAGACUAGAAAAAAUAGGCUGAUGUUGAGCGAUUUUAACACCUCCUCUCGACAUCAGCUGUCAUCUUAGCCAUGCCUAGUUGCUAACAUAAACUUUCAAACUUAUUGACACUUAAGCCUUUUGUGAACAAGUCUGUAAUUUGUUUCUCUGUGUUAAUAUGCUCCAGGUUAAUCUCUCCUUGUAACACCUUUUCUAUGAUGAAAUGGUAAUGUAUUUCCACAUGCUUCGUCCUUGCAUGAAAAAUAGGAUUUUCAGCCAAAUUAAUCACUGACUGAUUGUCACAGUACAAAGAAACUGCAUAGCCAACUAGUUGAUGUAAAUCCUUCAUCAACCGCAUAAGCCAUAUACUUUCUUGAGCUGCAACUACUACUUUAUCGAUACUCUGCUUCUGUUUUUGAUAGCAACAUUGUUGGCUGCCUUUUGUUGCACCAAGAAAUUGCUCCAGCUCCAAGCUUAAACAUGAAGCCAGUAGUUGAAUGACGAGUGUCAUGGUCUCCUGCAUAGUCCGAGUCACAGUAACCAACCAACUUGCAUUCUUCACCUUUCUUAUACACGAGGCUAUAACGAAUUGUACUUUUCACAUAUCUUAGAAUUCGAUGAACAACCUCCAUAUGACACUUCUUUGGCUUGUGCAUGUAGCGACUCAUCACACCAAUUGCAAAAGAAAUAUCAGGCCUAGUCUGAGUUAGAUAAAUCAGACUACCUACCAGUUGUCGAUACAUCGUCACAUCUUCUAAAUCUUUUCCUUCAUGUGCACACAUCACAUGUCGUGAUGUAUAACACCUUCCAGUUGUAGGGUCACUACAUUUCCACCCUUUUCUUUGAUUAUCAUAGCCUAUAAAAAUACAUUUAACAGCUUUCUUGUCCAAUUUUCUACGUAAUUGAUCAGCUAUAAAAACAUAGCAUACACAUCCAAAUACUCACAAAUAACUGACAUUAGCUUUCAUAUUCCACAACUUCUCAAAAGGUGAAAGAAAACCUAACCUUUGUUGAGGAAGUCUGCUGAUGACAUAUGACACAUUCCUCAUUGCUUCUGCCCAAAAUCUUCCUGGGACAUUCUCGGCAUGUAACAUAGUGCGGCAUAUUUCUGCUAAAUUCCUAUUCUUCCUCUCCGCAAUGCCAUUUUGUUGUGGUGUGUAGGCACAAGUAUAUUGAUGGUGAAUUCCUCAUUCCCUUAGGUAUUGAGAAAACUUAACUGAGCAGUAUUCCCCUCAGUUAUCUGUUCUUAAACAACAAAUUUUCUUUCCCAGUUCUCCCUUAACUGUUUCCUUAAACUCUUUAAACUUAGAAAAAGAAUCAGAUUUUUCUUUCAUAAAGAAAACCCAAACAUACCUAGAGAAAUCAUCAAUAAAGGUCACCAUGUACUUCAUUCCACCAAUUCAUGAUUGCUUGACAGGUCCAAACACAUCAGAAUGAAUUAAUUGUAGUGAUUCAUAGUCUUUAAAUUUGGACUCUACAAACGGCAACUGGUGAGCUUUACCGAAUUGGCAUCCUGAACAGACGAUGUCUGCUCUUACUUCAAGUUGAGGAAAACCCUUGAUCAUUAACUUCUUCAACAUAACACUUAGCUUGGAAUAACUCACAUGACCCAAUCUCAUAUGCCACAAAUCAGUUGUCUCAUUAUUUGUUGUCUUUUCUACAUAUGCAAACUCUACAUACAUCACAUAAAUGGACUCUAAUCUACGCCCUUUCGUAAUUGGAUUUUCUAAGUUCUUGAGAUCUUGAUAAAUCCUCACAUCAUCAGGACCAAACAAGACAUAGUUUCUAGAUGUUGUUAAUUGCGACACUGAAAGCAAGUGUUUCCUCAUACCUGGAACAUGAUAGACAUUCUGAAGUGGUAUUUGAUUGAUCCCUUGUUGAAGAGAGACUGGUGUUUUACCAAUAUGAACUAUCAGUAACCUUGAAUUAUGUAACACCUCAGAAAUGAGUAGGUUGAAUUAGAGCCUAAACGUGAGGGUUAACGUCAAGGUAUGUGCUAGACCCCGGAGUUUAGAAGACCUUUUACGGGUUGGUUGAGAGUUGCAAGGUCGAGUGCCAAACCAAAAAGGGGCAAGCCUAAGCCAAAAGCCAAGGCUGCCCCAAGCUUGGCCAAGCACUGCCCAAGGACCACGACCACCUUCACAAACAGUGGUCUUGACCAUGGUCCGUGAAGGGGCUCGUGAAGGUCCCUUAGGCAUGUGGGAAGCAAGGCCUUGAGGCCUAGCCACUGCCUAGGAACCACGACUCGUGGUCUUGACCACGGAUCGUGGAAGGUCUUGUGGUCUUGCCUUGGCAUUGUGGAGGCCAAGGCCCCAAGCCAUAGCUACUGCCUAGGAACCACGACCUCCAUCACGACUUGUGGUCUUGACUACGGAUCGUGGAGGGUCUCGUGAUCUUGCCUUAGGAUCAUGAAGUCUUGCCAAGUUGAGGAGGGUCACUGGUCAAGGGACCACGGGCACCACCACGAGCCGUGGUGCCCUUGACGAGCUGUGAAAGAGGGCGUGGUCCCUGGGACGGGCAGCCUAGUUGAGGGUCAUUUCAUAAUUUCCAAAUCAAUUAGUUAAUUAAUGGGGUCAUUUUUAAUUGUUUUAUUUCACAUAAAUAAAUGGUUUUAAGUCAUUAAACACCUAUUUUACUCCAUUAUUCUGAAAUACCCAAAUCAAAACCCCAAAGUUCUUCCCUCUCAAUAUUUCUCUCUCUAGAAACCUCCGUUUAAGAAGAAGAAGAAGGAGUGGAAGCUAGGGCUUGAAGAACCAAAGUGUUUCUUCUCAAAUUUUGAGGAAAUAUCCAUUAAGAUAUGGUAGUUUUCAUCCUUGGUUUGUUUCCACCCAAGUAGACCCUUCAAAAGAUGAUUUCAAGUUUCCAAAAUCCCCCAAAAUACCUAGUGUUUUCAAUCCAAGCAUGGGUUCAAUUCCAAAAUGUUUUCAAAGGUUUAUAUGUGAUGAAUUAUUAAUAAAUUGCUGAAUUAAUGAUGAAUUCUCCUAUGAACCCAUGUUUCCCCCAAAAUACUAAAUUGGAAGCUUGUGAUUUGGGUUAAUUCAUUAUGGGAUCAUGUUGAAUUGUUAUGUCUAUGUUGAAUUAGUUAUUGAAUCAUGAUAUUUCCCUUAUAUAAUGUAUAUUCUAGAUGUUUAGGUUUAGAUUGAUUCAUAGCCUUGAAGGGCAAAGUAUGAAGGAUAUGUAUGAUUCUGAUGUGAAGUAUAUGCAUAUGAUUACAAUAAAAGUAUUAUGAUCAUGCCUAGAAUGAAAUUGUGUUAUUAUUGAAAGGUUAUUCUCAAUUUGACACUUAUGAAUGAUGAUGAUAGAAUGUGAAAGGUUUCUUCAAGUAAUGUUGAUUAAUGCAUCUUGAAUUGGUAGGCUUAGGUAUCAUUUUCUUAUGUUGCUAAUGUAUCUUGACUUAAUGAACCUUGAAUCGGUAGACCUAAUGUUGGUGUCCCUUUCAUGAGGAGUCUAUAAAUGAAUGAAUAAAUGAAUGAUAAACCAUGAAUUGGUAGACCUAAUGGUAGUGGCCCUUUCAUGUGUGAAAUGAUGAACCUUGAACUGGUAAACCUAAUAGUGGUGGCCCUUUCUUGAAGAUCCAAUGAGCUCUCAUUGUAAUGUACCUUGAAUCGGUAGACCUAAUGGUGGUGGCUAUUUAAUGUGUAAAUGUACCUUGAGUCGGUAGACGUAAUGGUAGUAGCCCUCUUAAGUAUAAUAAUGUUAACGAAAAUGAACUACUCUAUGGGAAUGGAGGCUAAGUACUGAGGGGCCGUUUGGUUACUGGUUAGAGUUAUGCAGGUAUUAGUUAUACAGGGUUUAGUUAUGCAGGUAUUAAUUAUGCAGGGUUUAGUUAUGCAGGUAUUAGUUAUGCAGGGUUUAAUUAUGCGGGUAUUAGCUAUGUGGAUAUUAGUUAUGUAGGUAU
rnacentral:lncRNA from 1 species